rnacentral:lncRNA from 1 species
UGUUGAUACCUCCCGGACAUUUGAUCACCUAAUUCUGAUCUUGCAUCUUCAAAUUAAGGGUUAAAAAGCUGAAAAAUGCAGAGGUAGCAGUUGGAUAAAAAAAUGGAUACAAAAUGAAAUGAGUCAUAUUUUUAUCAGAAAUAAUGGACUUCACGUGUUCAUAUUGUUUAUUUUUUUUUUUGGGAAAAAUAUGGCUAUAUAGUCUUAUAAAUUAGUAUCUAUUCUAACAAGCUCUCGAGAUGAGCCAGGGUCAGAACCUGGAUAAUUUGAUACGUGUAGCAUUCAUAGAAUAUCCAUUUAUUGGGAGUUCGAGAUAAUCAUCUUAAAUUUAAAAAGCACUAUAUUUAAUUAUAGAACAUAUAUCAGCUUAAAUUCAAAAAUACCAAGUGGAUCAUCUCUCUUGCAAUAACUCUCAUUCCAAAUCCAGGGAGAUGGGCAAAGCAAGAUACUAAAUAAUGCAAAAAGGAUAUCAGAACAUACAAAAACCACAUGAACAAUGCAAAAAUUUCACUGUGAUUGUUACAAAAUAUCUUGAAGUCAAAUAGAAAUUAGAUUAAAUCUCAUCGACUGAUAGGGUUGCGGUUUUGGAUUUUCAGAAGGCACCAUCUGCAUCCCUAAUGUCAAAAAACCAGAAUACAUACUACUUAUUUCUCUGUUUUAAGUACCUAAUCCAAUUAACCUUGUACCACAGUCAGGCACUAACUAAUAAAGAUGAUUGCAAGUAUCCUCCAAAUUUAUUUGGCAAUCAUAAUGUGCAAGGACUGUAUUAAUAUGAAAAGGGGUGCUCAAAAGCACAUGUAUAUCUCACUGUCAUACAUAAAACGCAGAAGGUGCAGCAAACAAGUUAGUACAAAUCAUAAGCAGACAAAAGUUUCCAAUCAAAACAAUUAUCAUUAAACUUAACAGGGCUUUCCAAGUGUCUGAUUUGCGCUCUUGAUGAAGCUCUAGUAUACUGCAACAUCUCCUCUGUGAUUUUUAAUGCCGAGGCACAAUCUUUUAUGGAGCAACGACGGUGGAUGAAUAAUGAUUUUAGUGACGGAGAGCAGGCUAGUAGAAACUUUACUAGCUCCAGCUCAGCAACAAAACCUUUGAAAUCACUGAACAAGACAAUUUCAAGAUGGAGCAUGGUACAAUCUUCAGAAUCUUCUAUCUGAUACUCCUCAAGUUUAUCUUUUCCUCCAUUGCAUGAGUUCUAAUGAUAGAGCAAAUAUUCUAGAACUGUCAAAUAGUAGCAAAAUUAUAGUGAACAGAAUGAGUUAAAAGAAGAUGACUCACUGAGAUAUGUAGUUUGCGCAAGUUGGGAGCACUCCUAAUCAAAGAAACCAAACAAGAAGCCUCACACAAUACACCGAAAUCUAUAUCAAAGAUAUUUAGAGACUUUAAGUAUGGCAGUGGUUUCGAAAGCUUAUGUGGAAAACCUCCGGCAGCCAAGACCUUUGAAAGGCAUUGCAAAUGAAAGCACCAGAAUUAGAAGUUGCUCAGUAGAGUAAGGUUGCACAGAAUAAUGUAAACAUAAUCUGAAUAUUACCUUCAAGGAAUCAUCUGCUAAGGAGAACUUCUCAAUUUUAUGUAGACUACCGGGGAUUAUAACCACAUUGAAUGUUUGCAUCUCCUCGGAGCAAUCUUCUAAUAACAUUAAAGAGUAUUCUUCGAGGUUUUCUAACCCAGCUAGAGAAUAUUUGGAAGAUAACUUAUGGUAUACUUGAAUCAGACAUUUAAGAUUAGGAGCACAAAAGUUGUUAGGGAAAAGUCCUCUGCAAAUUAUUAAGGUCAACUUCUCAAGUACAGGGCAAAAGAAGAUGCUUUGUCCAAAGCUAUAAGUAGCAUCAACUAGCUCAAGAUGAGUCAGAUUAGCAAAUCUUUCACAUGAGGGUGUAUAGGGAAACCAAACACUUAAAAGUCUCAAAUGAGUCGGGUCUAGAACAGAGAAAUUAUGUGCAUUAGAUUCUUCAAGGAGAUUAUUAUAGUUAUCCAGUGUAAGUUGCUUGGUACCAUUCUUUGACAAUAAUGAAAUCCACUGAUCAAUAUAAUCAUGAACUAUUUGAGUAUCAAACUUAUAACCUUGAGGUAUGUCUAGUGAAAACUUGAGGAUCGGACCUUUGUGGAGUAGGAGAACUUCAUUUAUCACACUAACAAAGCUAUACGCCUUCAGUCCUGGAUCAUCAUUUUCAGUAUAUUUCUUCAUCGUGCUGUGAAAUAUCGAUUCCAAAUCAAAGAUCAGAUGUGGGAUCCUGGUCCAACGGUACCUCCAUGCUCUUGACAAGGCACUGGUUCUCACUGCGUCUCGUAUUGGCAGAAAACAUAGGAUAAUUUCUAGUAAGUUCUGAGGCAACUCACUGAUUAUAUCUUUCUUAACAAAAUCGACCUUUCUCCUACUGGACUGUGCCAUCAUCUUCUGCAAUUAAAAAUUGCCAACCCCUUCAUUUUAUUAAUAAUUAUAUCCCAGGAGCAUCAUUUUAAUUACUCUAAAUUCAUGAACAAAGUUUCAAAUCCAUUAAUCCUUCAUUAAUCAGUGCAUGCAUUGACCAAAACAUAUUGAUAAUGGGGCAAAACAGUAAUUACCAUUUACCAAAGAAACAACCAUAAUAGAAGUAUAGUAGAACAUAACAGAUAAAAUAACAGUGAUAUGGAUCUUAAACAUAUAAAGCAUGACAAAUUAGUUAGAAAUAAUCAAACAAGAGCUUAAAAAACUUGGAAUACCUGAUAAAUAACUUGUGGAAAGAGAACGCUUCAGAUCCGCUUAUUCAUGUAAACAAGAAAAGAUAUAUAGCAGCUAUACAACUAGGGUUUUGAAAAAAAGAGACUUGAAGUUGGGGGACUGUAUAUAAAAAGUCAGAGUUGGGAAAACGAAGAGUUGGAUCUUUUUUUUUUUUUGAAAAACAAGAGUUGGAUCUUAUGACGAAACGCAAAGAGUUGAAUAUCAUCUUCGUAAUUACUACUUCCACUGUCUCUCUUUUACCUGUCUUUUUCGUGAAAUUUUUUAAUUUCAAAAUAUUUAUCUCAUUUCGUUUUUCAAAACAAUUUUUUAAAUGUUUCUCCAAACAAUAUUUUUUAAAUAUAAGUUUUCAUAUUUGACUACCACACACAUACACGUAAAUUAAUUUAAUACAGUGCAAUUAUUAGAGUAGACUUGCAAAUCAAAUACUCAACUAAUUUUAUCUUAAGAUGCGUAACUUUUUAUCUUAAGAUGCGUAAUUUUUUUCAAAGGGGACAUGUAAAAUGGGACGGAGGAGAUAUAGUUUACAUGUAUCAAUUUACAUGACCUUUUUGAAAAAAUUACGCAUUUUACAAAAAAUGAUAGUCGUGUAUUUGAUUUUCUUGUCUCGAGUUCCAUGUUCCUUUCGAAAGAUUAAACAUUUUUAGAAAAUGUUAGUUGAGUAUUUAAUUUCCUUGUCUUUCAUGAUAGUUUCACUGAAUUAAGGUAUGUUGUGAGUAUAUGUAUACUACUCAAACAUUCAAAAUUGUGUUUCAAGAACAUUUUAAAAAAAAAACUAUAUUUUUAAAACAUUGCUUUUAAAAAUAAGGGAUAAGUAUAUUUUUUUCAAAAGAUACAUUUAAAUAGGGAUGGAAGGAAUAAUAAACUAUAAUAUCAAACCCAAUUUACUAUAUAUCUUUUAAUUCAAAGCGUGAUUUUUUUUCCGCAAACAAAUCUAUAAUAACUAUAAUUAAUAAAGAAAAAUAUUUGGUGUACAGACAAAAUUUUUUACAUAAUGAUAUGUGAUGGUUUUUAAUUAGAAUGAACCCUUAUAUUUAUAUCAACAAUUCCAAUUAAAACAUUCUACAUCAAUUGCCAUGUCAUUAUGUAUAAAUAUUCUGUACACAAUUCGUGCACCUGCUAGCACCACUCAUUACCAAAUGAAUGAUGAAUAUUUAAUAUUUUUUUGAGCGACAUAUUUUUAGUCAUUCUUAAAUUAAUUAUUAUUAGAAUAAUUGACACUUUGCACCCCUCAAGUUUAGGCUUUUUUCCGAUUUGGUAUCAAACAAUAUUUUUGGCAAUAUGCACUCUAAAGUUUAAAAGUCGCUUCGAUUUGCACCCCUUUGACCAUAUUCCGUCAAAUUGACUGUUAAAAUUAACAGAGGCAUGGGUAAAAUAGUAAUCUAGGGGGCGGGAAGAGGGGUUCGAUGAUAUAGCGGUUGUAUUUUUUGAUUUUACUCAAAUUUAAUUUUUAAUCAAUUUGACAGAAUAUGAUAAAAGGGGUGUGAUAGGGGUCGAAAUAAUUCUUAAUUUUUAAAAAGCCCAGAAACAUAGAAGCCCAGUUAAUAAGGGCCCGAAACACUUAAAUAUUAAUUAAUUUUGUAAUUAAUUAAUGUGGCCAGUAUUUAGGCCCACAAUUAAACUACGUGGACUGUGUCACAGUCCAAUAAUUGAGCCCCCGGCCCUAUUGAGGCUGGAAUCAUACAAUGAGCCCUUUCAUGGCCCAAAUUCAUAAUCCUACUCUAAGUAGGAAACUAAAUGGAAGCCUCUAGAAUUUCAGAAUUUUACGAGUAUUCAAAUUCUUCGAUGAUAAACAUCUAAAGUCCCAGAUAAACAUCGAUUACAUAAGAUAACAGUCUUAUCUUAUCUCAUACGAUGAAGCCUACUACUACGAGCUCUGAUAUGUGGAAUCAUACUUCCAAUCAUCUCUAACAUCGGGACUACUAUAUAAAGAGCUCUACCCCUCCAAACUAGAACUACGUUUGAGAUUUGAUUCUUCUCCAAGUAGAAGAUACGUAGGCAUCCGCACAUCGGGAACAGUCUAAAGCAUGAACGCUCUCACCCUCGUUUUCGAGUCUAUAACAUGGUGCAAAUAUAAGCGCUUUUUAAUUUUAAGGUGCAUAUUGUCAAAAAAAAAUUGUUUGAGACCAAAUCGAAAAACACCUAAACUUAAGAGAUGCAAAGUGUCAAUUACUCUUAUUAUUAUUAGCUUAUAAUUUAUACGAUUUACGGAUGUAUUUGAAUAGUAAUUAAUAAUUUUCUUGUACGUAUUUAAAUUAAUAAUUUUUUAAAUAUUUUCUUGAUGGAAUUCCAAUCUUAUAGAUUUAGUUGAAAAUAUUUUCUUCAACUUAAUUUAAACGAUCCAAUGCUUAUAAUGUACCGUGCCGAACUACAAACUAACGACCACCUUUUUGCAUGUACAGUUUUAUUAAUGCUAGUUAUAACUCGUGUCAGGCGCAGUUAUUUAUUUGAAAAAAAAUAUAUUUAUAUUAAAAAUCAUUGAACAAAUACUGAUAAAAAAAUAUUUGUACUAUAUCUAAAUAAUAGAAUAUCUUAUUCUUUUAUUUAGUUUAUGAGUUAUCUUACUAAUAUUAUUAGGGUGUCAAUUUCGGGUAACGGGUCGUGUUCGUGUCAGCAGGUCGAUUUCGGGUCAAGCUAAAAUCACUUAAAAUUGAAUAAAACUUUUGAUUGAAGUUAUUAGAUUUUAAUUUCGGGUCAUUUUGAGUCCAUUUCGGAUCAAUCGGGUGAUUUUCGGGUCACUUUCGGGUUUCUGUCUCAAUAAAUCGGGUUUCGGGUUGGGUCGAGUUCGUGUCGGGUUUGCAACCCCUAGAUAUUAUACACUGUCAAAAUCAAGAUUUUCAUUUGAGUGAAAAGAAUAGUGAUGAUUUAAUGAUUAUAUUUCAAUCAGUACAAAAAAAUAGGUAGUAUAAAUAAUUAUAAAAUUUAUAAUAAGAAUCAUAUUUUAUUAACUAAAUCUUCUUCUAUAUGAUUUAGAACAUAAAAUGAAUGAAUGUUGUAUUUUAAUUACAGAAUCUAUGUAUAUAUGCUUUUUACAUUACCUUCUUAGAGUUAAGUUCUAUGGAGUACAUAAAAACAUUGGAGUAUUGGAGUACAAAUCAUAAUUUUUUAGUUUGAUCCUAUAUAAUAUCUUUGAUUAUCCAAAUUUUGAUAUAAUCUAUCAUUUAUAAGUUGUCUUGCACAUAAUUGUCAAUUAAUCAUUAAUAUCUUUCAACUUUAACAAGUAUUAAGAUUAUUGUUCUGCUUAUUAGUUAUAUUGCAGAACAUAGAGUCCUAUGAUUUAUAAAAGUAAUUAUUCUACCAUUUGAUCACGAUGUUUAUGUUGCAGAACAUAAUGUGCAGGUUGUCAAAUAUUUACAAAUAUUAUUGGACAAAAAAAAUUGGAAUUUAGAUGACUAGAUUACAUUUUAUCAAACUUUGUACUCCAAUACUCCAAUUUUUUUUGUACUCCAUAGAACUUAACUCUACCUUCUUAUAUGAUUUAAAACACACAAAAAAUAGAGGACAUAUUUUAUUUAUAAAAUCUACUUUUAUAUAAAUUAAAACAUUGCAAGAAUAAAAUAUUAUACUUAAAUAAAUCUUAAACGUGAAAUUAACUGUUUAUGAAACAAUUAUGUUUAAUAGUUCACAUUUAUUCUCUAUAUACUACUAUUAUAUUAUGCAAAACAAUCAAAUUAUCUUUCUAUACAAGAAUAUAAUAUUUUAAAUAUCGGUGUGUUCCAUUAAAUCCUUAAAAGACUGAAUUUUGUGACCACCAUUAUCUCAGAAUGUAGGCUGCAUCUCCUCUACUCGUUGUUGCAUUGCAGCAUUCAGUGCGCCUUUGUUGCUUAAAGAGUUCUUGUGCACACAUUUUACUUCGAUUUGGAUGUCUGUAAAUUGCAUUUGCUGUUCACGAUGUACUUGUUUGAUUGUAACUUUGGUUGUUUGGAGGUACUUGAUGGAACCAAAUAUGCAGUUUGUCAAAUUUGCUGUGCAGUUCUUUUUUUUCCUAAAAUAAUAAGCAUUGCUCACAUGUUUUGUGACAUUGAUCAUCUAUUACGUGGACGCUGCGACUGGGAUUUUUACCACUGAAACGUUGAUAACGGGCAUGUUUGGCUACCGCUUCUCCAGCCUCUUUUAGCAUUGUAAACUGUCUCAGGCUUCUUGCACACUGUUUGACAAAAAAGUGAAGUGAUUUUUUUGGGUUAUAAAGUCAGAAAGUGGAAUUAAUAUGAUUUCUUUUGGGUUUUUCAUUUGCUAUAAAGUUUUUUUUAUUUUUUCUAUGUAAUAAAUUUAUUCAUUAAUGAAGUUUCUUAUAUUAUAAUUAAUAAUUUGAUUUUCUUUAAUUUAUCUCAAUUAACUUGUAAGUAAUAUUAUUAAAACACAUUUGGUAAAUUCUACUUCAACAUUUUUAAGUAAAAAGUUACUUUAUGCAAACAUUGGGUGCAAAAAAUCUCUUAACCUUGUCUUCACAUAUAUAUAGGAACCAUAUAUAUAUCCGUAGUUACUUGCAGCUGCAGGAGCACUCUAUAGUAUUGUUGUUGACACUUCCCGGGCACUUGAUUACCUGAUUCUGAUCAUGCGUCUUCAAAUUGAUAAAAAAACUGAAAAAUCCAGAGGUACCAAUCGGAUAAAAGAAAGAUGUGUCAUAUUUUUUUGGAAAUAUUGAUACUGUAUCAUAGAUACAUAUCAGGAUUUUUUUUCAUCCAACAAAGUUUAUUAUCUAACUCAAGGAUACACAAAGAUAUCUACCGACGCUUAGAAAUAAGACUUUGAAUUCUGAUAAAAAAAUCCAUCAAGUCUUUUUUCAUGAUCCUAAAACUCAAAGGAAGCAAAAAGCAAACAUAAGAAUGAUAUAAUAUAAGUAGAAAAUUUGAUGUCAUAUUAUACUUGCAACAAAUUUUGUAUUUAAUUCCGUACGUAUAUUACUAAAAAAAUAUAAAAUAUUUAUUUAUUGGUGGUUCGAGAAAAUCAUCUUAAAUAAAAAAGCACUAUAAUUAUUCAUAGAACAUAGAGCAGCUUAAAUUCAAAUAUCCAAGUGGAUCAUCCAUCUUCCAAUAGUACUACUGAUAGUUUUCGGUAAAAGAACAUUAAAUUUGAGAAGAUAAUAGUAAUAGAGACUAGUCCCCUUUUCAUUAAAGAGAAAGUUCAUAUUUACAGAGAGAUUGCAACUAUGUGUUUUCAGAGAGACGGGCAAAACAAGAUAUUUAAACAAUGAAAAAAGAUAUCUGAACAUACGAAACUAGAUGAACAAUGCAAAAAUUUCACUGCUACUGUUAAAAUAUAUCUUAAAGUCGAAUAGAAAUUAGAUUAAAUAUCAUCGAUUAUACAGUUGCAGUUUUCAAUUUUUAGAAGGCGCCAUCUGCAUCCCUAACAACUAGAUAUAGGUGGAAAAAAAUCAUAACACAUAUUACUUAUGUUCACUUGGAUGAAAUUGAAUGGAAUGAAAUUUGUAAUAUACAAGGGCUCUAGUAAUAUGAAAAGAGAUGCUCAAAAGCAUAUGUAUAUCUCAAAAAGUGCGACAAACAAGUAAUUAGAAUAAACUAUAAUUAUCAGACCAAAGUUUCCGAUCAAAACAAUUAGUACCAUAAAUAAUGUUAACAGGGCUUUCCAAGUGUCUGAUUUGCGCUCUUGGUGAAGCUCUAGUAUACUGCAACAUUUCCUCUGUGAUUUUUAAUGCCGAGGCACAAUCUUUUAUGGAGCAAUCACGGUGGAUGAAUAAUGAUUUUAGGGACGGAGAGCAGGCUAGUAGAAACUUUACUAGCUCCAGCUCAGCAAUGACACCUUUGAAGUCACUGAACGAGACAAUUUCAAGAUGGAGCAUUAUACAUUCUUCAGAAUCUUCAAUCUGAUACUCCUCAAGUUCCUCUUCUCUGCCAUCCAUUGAGUUCUAGUGAUAGAGCAUAUAUUCAAGAAUUGUCAACAGUAGCUAAAUUAUAGUGAACAAAAUGAGAUUAAAGAAGAUGACUCACUACGAUAUGUAGUGUGCGCAAGUUGGGAGCACUCCUAAUUAAACAAACCAAACAAGAAACCUCGGACAAUGCACCAAAGUCAAUAUCAGAGAUAUUUAUAAAUUUUAAGUAUGGCAGUGGUUUUGAAAGCCUAUUUGGAAAACCUCCUGCGGCCAAGCCCUUUGAAAGACAUCACAAAUGCAAGCACCAAAAUUAGAAGUUGCUCGGUUAAGUAAGAUUGCACAGAAUAAUGUAAAGAUAAUCUGAAUAUUACCUUCAAGGAAUCAUAUGCUAAGGAAAACUUUUCAAUUUUAUGGAGACUACCGGGAAUUUUGACCACAUUCAAUGUUUGCAUCUCCUCAGAGCAAUCUUCUAAUAACAUUAAAGAGUAUUCUUCGAGCUUUUGUAAGCCAGCUAGAGAAUAUUCGGAAGAUAUCCCAUGGUACACUUGAAUCAGACGUUUAAGAUUAGGAGCCCAAAAGUUGUUAGGGAAAAGUCCUCAACAAAAAAUCAAGGUCAACUUCUCAAGCACAGGGCAAUAGAAGAUGCCUUGUCCAAAAUCAUAAGUAGCUUCAACUAGCUCAAGAUGAGUCAGAUUAGCAAAUCUACCACAUGAUGGUGUGUAGCGAAACCAAAAUCCUAAAAGCCUCAAAUGAGACAGGUCUAGAAGAGAGAAAUUAUGUGCAUUAGAUUCUUCAAGCUCAGAAGAGUUAUCCAUUGCAAGUUGCUUGGUACCAUUCUUUGAUAAUAAUGAAAUCCACUGAUAAAUAUAAUCAUGAAUUAUUCGAGUAUUAAAAUUAUAACCUCGAGGUAUGGAGAGUGAAAACUUGAGGAUUGGACCUUUGUGUAGUAGGAGAAUUUUAUUUAUGACACUAACAAAUCUAUACGCCUGUAGUUCUGCAUCAUCAUUUUGACUAUAUUUCUCCAUCACACGGUCAGUCGAUUCCAAAUUAAAGAUUAGAUGUGGGAUCGUAGUCCAACGAUACCUCCAUGCUCUUGACAAGAAACUGGUUCUCACUGCAUCUUGUAUUGGCAGAAAACAUAGGAUGAUUUCUAGUACGUUCUGAGGCAACUCACUGAUUAUAUCUCUCUUAACACAACCCACCUUUUUCAUCCUAGAUUGUGCCAUCAUCUUCUGCAAUUAAAAAUUGCCAACCCCUUCACUUAAUUAAUAAUUAUAUCCCAGUAGCAUCAUUUUAAUUACACUAAAUUCAUGAACAAGGUUUAAAAUCCAUAAUUCCCUCAUCAAUUGCAGUAGCUAGAUACCAAAACAUAUUGAUAAUUGAGCAAAACAGUAAUUACCAUUUACCAAAGAAACAGCCAUAAUAGAAGUAGAGUAGAACAGAUAAAUAACAGUGAUAUGGAUCUUAAGCAUAUAAUGCAUGACAAAUAUAUAUAGUUAGAAAUAAUCAAAUAAGAGCUUGAAAACUUGAAAUACCUGACAAAUAAUUUGGUGAAAGAGAACGCUUCACAUCCGCUUAUUUAUGUAAACAAGAAAAGAUAUAGCUAAGGUUUUGAAAAAUGUAGAGCGAAGAUGUUGCGGGAUAGUAUAUAUAAAAGGUCAGAGUUGGGAAAACGAAGAGUUGGAACUUAAUGGCGAAAUAUAAAGAGUAUGAAUGUCAUUUUCAUAAUUACUGCAUCUAUGACUAUGACUAUAGUACUAACUAUGAUUUUUUGCACGUAAAUUAAGGUGAUUAAAGAACUUAAUUCUACUUAUUAUUUUUAAUUUUUUUUUCUGAAUUAAAGUUUAUAAUUUAUAUUUUUAUUCACAUAUUUUUUUUUAAAAAAAUAAUGAGCGGAAUUAUAUUUUUACUCACCUUACAAGUAAAAAGGGACCGAAGUAGUAAUAUGGAACACAAUUUACUAUACAUCUUUUGGUUCAAACCCCAAUUUUCUUUCCCAAACAAAUCUAUAAUGAACUAAUUAAUAUUCCAUCAGUUUGUUUUUAGUUGUCCACUAUUGACUUUUAACGAUCAUUGACCAUUUUUUGACCAAUAAUUACUAUCAACAUUUUUAUUAUUUUAAAAAAUUGAAAAUUAUAUUUUAAAAUAAAUUGUAUGUACUUAUAAAAUAUAAAUUUAAAAUAUUUUUUAGAUUAUAUGAAACAUAUAAAGUUGAGUCAAAGUUUGGUCAAUUUGACUGUUGAAAUUCAAAACCAGGCCACUAACAAGGGAUAAAGAAAGUAAUAAACAAAUAUAAGGUUAAUAUUUAAUUAUUAUUCAGUUACAUAUUUUUAGCCAUUCUUAAAUUAUUAUUAUUGGCCUAUAGUUCAUGCCAUUCACGUGAUAUAUUUGAAUAAUUAAUAAUUUUUAUUUACAUGUUUAAAUUAAACCGGAUUCGAAUCUUAUAAAUUUAGUAGAAAAUCCAAUCUAAUGAUUUUCAUUAAUUUAAUUUAAGUUAUCCUCACGCUUAUAAUGUACUGUACCGGACUACGAACAAAAUUUUUGUAUGUUUAAUUUUAUUAAUGCUAGUUUAUAACUCAUGUCAUGCAUUGUUAUUUAUUUAAUAUUAUAUAUAUUUAUAUUAAUAAUCAUUUCACGGAUAAUGUUAAAAAAAUAUUUGUAUUAUAUAUAAAUAAUGUAAUAUAUUAGUCUUUUACUUAGUUUAUGAGUAAUUUUAUUAAUAUUAUAGUACGGUAUCAAAGUCAAGAUUUUCAUUGGAGUGAAAAAAAUAGUGAUGAUUUAGCAAUUAUUUAUAUAUNNNNNNNNNNNNNNNNNNNNNNNNNNNNNNNNNNNNNNNNNNNNNNNNNNNNNNNNNNNNNNNNNNNNNNNNNNNNNNNNNNNNNNNNNNNNNNNNNNNNNNNNNNNNNNNNNNNNNNNNNNNNNNNNNNNNNNNNNNNNNNNNNNNNNNNNNNNNNNNNNNNNNNNNNNNNNNNNNNNNNNNNNNNNNNNNNNNNNNNNNNNNNNNNNNNNNNNNNNNNNNNNNNNNNNNNNNNNNNNNNNNNNNNNNNNNNNNNNNNNNNNNNNNNNNNNNNNNNNNNNNNNNNNNNNNNNNNNNNNNNNNNNNNNNNNNNNNNNNNNNNNNNNNNNNNNNNNNNNNNNNNNNNNNNNNNNNNNNNNNNNNNNNNNNNNNNNNNNNNNNNNNNNNNNNNNNNNNNNNNNNNNNNNNNNNNNNNNNNNNNNNNNNNNNNNNNNNAUAUAUAUAUAUAUAUAUAUAUAUAUAUAUAUAUAUAUAUAUAUAUAUAUAUAUAUAUAUAUAUAUAUAUCUAAACAAAAAAAAUAGGAAGUAUAAUAAUCAUUAUAUAAUUGUUAGUGAGAAUCAUACUUUAUUUACUAAAUCUUCUUCUAUAUUAUUUGUUUUUCUACCGCAAGAGGGGCUUGAAUUCUAAUCUCGUGUCAGAACUUACGGACCAAGGGACAAUCUUAGGUAGACAGUUUCUAUGAGCGUAGGCCUCCCAAAAAAGAACAGAGGCGUGCAAAGGUUUACUCGGGCCGAACGGAGAUUCGCCCUCGAGUGCAAAGGCAGAAGGGAGCUUGACUACAAGACUCACCCGUCAAGCAAAAACGAAAGUCGGUCUUAGUGAUUCAUCGAUCAAAAUAUAGAUGCUAAACCAAAACUGCGCAAAGAAUCAACCAGAUUGUCAUAGUGGAUAAAUCAGGAAUACAUAAACAAAAACAACAAUCGGACCAGAAAACGCGAUUGCAUUAUAAGGUCGCAAUUGAACCGAUCAAGCAAUUAAGUUCGAAUUGACAUAACAUGAAGCUAUUAGUCCGAAAGCACCAUGAAGGGCAACAAAAGUCCACACACCACCUAAUUGACACUUUUCUUUCCCAACCAGAAAGCUAGUGAUACUUUUCGACCUGCUUUCUUUUGUGCAAAGCUCAAUUUUGAAAUACAACUUUCUUAGUAAGUUUCAUUGUAAACAUUGUCAAAAACCUCAACUAGGCUUUUUUCUUUGUAUAAAACUUUCCGAAACCUAGCAAACCAUAUCACAAAAGGGUAGUAUUCUCUUUUUGUAUUUACUUUCACUAUUCAAUCAAUAGAAACUUCUCAAUGAAUGAAUGUCCUAUUCUGACUACAAUAUCUAUUUAUAUAUGAUUUUUUAUAUAACUCGUUAUAUAUGAUUUAUAACACACAAAAAAAUAGAGGACAUAUUCUAUUUUCAAAAUCUACUUCUAUUUAAAUUAAAACAUUGCAAGAAUAAAUUAUAUACAAUAUAUAAAUAUUAUACUUAAAUAAAUUUUAUUCACGUGAAAUUAACUUUUUAUCAAACAAUAAGAGUUGAUAAUUCGUAUUUAUUAUACCAUAUUAUACCAUCCAAAUUAUCUUCCUUAAGGUUAUUACAAUAUAUAAUAAUAUAAUAGUUGUAAUAUCCCGACUUCAUUUUAUUUGAAUAAUACAUAAUCUAUGUGUAUUUGGAUGAGUAUUAUUACAUUUUUCCUUCUCUAAAAUUUAUUAUUGUGAAAUGUCGGUUUGCCUUGAUAUCAAGACUCCCAUAAAUAAAAUUUUUGACUAAGCGGAAGAGAUCCGAUGGUUUUUAUAUACUUUCGGUCCCCAAAUGAAAUAGGAAUAAUAAUAAUAAUAAUAAUAAUAAUAGAAAUAGGAAUAAUAAUAAUAAUAAUAAUAAUAAUAAUAAUAAUAAUAAUAAUAAUAAUAAUAAUAAUAAUGAGUAGGCAAUAAAAUUUUUUUGAUUAAGGGAUGAGUCUCAAUUUUCAUUAAGCCCCCAGAUAAAUUUUUGAACUAUAUCCGGCUCAAUAAGCCAAAUAUUAAUCGGACUAAGCUAAAUAGUCAAGCUCAAUUUUUAGUUAAUAGGCAUCCUUUUACCUCAAUAUAUAGCUGAGGUAGGAAUCUUGUGCUCAAAUCUUUUCGAUGAGGAACAAGUUUACCUUGUUAUGAAAUCAAAUUGUGCAUAAGUCUUGAAUUUCAUAUAGAAACUAAGAUAGACACUCUUAUAAAUUCUCGAUGUGUGGAACUUAGUGAAGUCCAUAAAAUUUUGAGAUUCAUCUUUUGUUUUUGUGGCUUACUUGAUUUUCAAAAAAAAAAGAGUCUAUUUUCUCUUAAUAAAAACUUUAAAAACUUGAAUUUAAUUGGCUAUAUUGAAGUCUAUUUUCUCUUAAUAAAACCUUUAAAAAUUUGAAAAAAAAGUCUUAUAUUCUUGUGAAUAUGAGCAAUGACCUAGUUUCUAAUUAAUAAAAUAUAAGGUGCAAGCGCCACCCUGUCGCUUAAGCGCCGUCCCGUGGCCAACCCAAAUGACAAAGUCUACUUUCCUUAUAUAAACACAACCCGUUCUAACUUACUAAAAAUAGGAAGCACGACCUGCUAAAUUUAGCAAGUUUACUAACUUAUCUCUAAUUUAUGAUUUAUUUUUUUAGUUUUAGUGCUUUAUUUAUGUUUUAAUUCAAUUAUUUCAAAUUAGGUUGUUAGAUUAUCAAAUUAGUAAUAAUUAGAGGCUUAAUAUAAGCGUGACUUAAUAAUAAAAUAAAUAUGCGAAUAUUUUAGGGAAUGAAGUUGUUGGACUCGAGAUUUAUAUUAGAACAUUGAGCACUGUAAGUAUAUACUAUACCCUUCACUGUUGAUAUUUUAUGACGUUUUGGUGAAUAUAUUAUGAUGAGAAAUUAAUGAGUAUUCUUAUAUUGAUUCUGUGAAUUGUGAUUCUUUAUUUAGGAUGUAAAGAUAAACCAAUUGUUUAGCUGGCCAGGAUCCCCACUAGUAGAACUUGUGAACUUUUGAAUUGAACGUGUUUUAAUACACAUACUCAUUUUAAUGUGAGAAAAUAUUUUAAUGACUUUGAUGAAAUAUUGAUUUGGUUCAUUAAGUUUUGUAAAUAGAACUUCGUUGAACAAUACCAUAUAUGCUUACUGAGCUUUAUGACCCCAUUUUUUUGUAUGUACUAACUUUACAGGAAAGAAUUUCGGAGAAGGAGAUUCAGGCAGGGGUAAAAAUGUGAUAGAACUAAAGUACUAGACUUGGUUGGAUUUGCAAUUAAAAGUUUACUAGAAGUAUUAUGUAAUCGACAGAAGUAUUUCAAAUGUGUAUUUCUUAUUAGACUUGUGUUCUAAACUUUUAGAAGUUUGAUGUAAGGUUAAAUACAUCUUUAAUUAUGUUGUAAUGUUAAGUUUGAGAUUAUGAAAAUAUAUUUUGGUUUGUUUAGUAGAAUGGGAUCCCCGGGCCGAGUUAGUGAUGUCAUCCCGGGCUGGGGGCGUCACAAUAGUAUAUAUUUUAAAAAUCAAAUUGAAGAAAUACAUUAAUAAUGUGAGACAAAGUACGUAACAAGAGCCUUUUUAACUCUCAUGUCUUCUGCUAAAAGACAAACAUUAAGUUAUUAUGUAAUUAAUAUAUGAUUAAUAAUAUCUUUUCAAAUAUAUUUAGUAGGGUGUAGGCAUGAGAUAUAAACUUAAUUCUUAUUUUUAAAAAACUUAUCAAACUAUUAUUACACCGUCGCGAAACACAUUUUAAUCGACUAGUUUUUAAUAAACGAAGAAAUUAAAAAUAUGAAAUUUAUAAUUAGUUAAGAAUAGUAAAAAUAUUACCAAUAAGAUAUAUUAAUAAAAAAAUAUAUUUAUAGAGAUGAUAAAAAUAUAUAGUAAUUUUAGUAUCCAUCAACAAUAUAAAAAAUCUUAUGAAAAUUAAAUAUCUAAAAGAAAAUAUAAUCAGUUAAUCAAUAAUACUUAAUCAAGUUUUAAUACUUAAUAAAUAAUACCAAUCAUGGAAACAGUUGGUAAUGGUGCUAAGAGAUCCAUUAUUACCGUUCAGGUGAAGAUGAUUGUGAUAUACAUUGUAUAUAUAGGUAUGUAUAUAUUUAUAUUUGAGAGAUAUGUUAUAUACAAAAUAGUGAUCCGUGAUGUACAAAAUGGUGAUUACUGCAGUUAAAAAUAGUGAUUAAAAACUAACUGCAGUUAAAAAUAGUGAUUAAAAACUAGGUUUUUAGUUUGUAGGCUAAUUUAAUUUGUUUUGUAUUAGAGCAGGACUCUCCCUGUAUAUAUAGGAUAGUUCUAUGGAGACCGCUAUUUCAUGGGAGACCUUGAAGAGCACGUAUGUUCUCCAAUCAAAACACCACAAAAUACUUUCUACAUAAAUCACUAAUUCAUUAAAAUUGUUGAAGAUCAUCUGUGUUUAAAAUAAGUAGAAUGUCUAUGUUCCGCAAGUUGAACAAUGUUCUGCAAAGUAAACAUAUUUCGUAGGAUGAUACAUUUUGUCGUAAUCUCCUACAUGCAAAACAUAUAUGAUAUUCAAGAUUUUAAAUAAUUUAAUGAUCUUUGUACUACAUGAUUUGCAAAAUUAUACAUUUUAUAAUAUUUUUAUGCAAUUUUUUACUUGCAGAACAUAAGUGAUCUCCACGGUCUCCAGAAUAGUAGUCUCCAUAGAACUUAACUAAUAUAUAUAUAUAUAUAUAUAUGUAUAUAGAGUCACACUCUAUGGAGAACCACCUUAUAUAGAGUCUAGUAGAGAACACCUAUAUAUACACAUAAAAUUUUUGUAUCAAUCUCAUUAUUCGUAAAAUAUAUAAUUAGUGAAUCAAAAAAUAAAGUUUCAUUAUUUUUUCUUCAAAAAAACGUUGGAAAUUAAUCAUAAUAUACAAACUGGUUCUACAGUAGAACCAUAUUCAUCCAGAGUGAUUCUACAGUAGAACCAAAUUUAAAAAUCAAUUUUUUUUACUUAGAUUGUAUGUGUUAAAUUGUUUAUACAUGUUAUGUAUGAUUAGUAUUCUACAUUAGAAUCAAAAUUUAUGCAUAAGUAUGUCUAAUUUUAAAAUUAUUAAUGAAAUUUUAAAGUAGAAUCAAAUGGUUCUCCACGGGACUCCAUAUAAGAUGGUNUAUAUAUAUAUAUAUAUAUAUAUAUAUAUAUAUAUAUAUAUAGAGUUUUACUCCAAUAGAAACCUUUUAUCCUAGAAACUAAAAACCAAGCUGAAAUAUCACUAAAUCCUAAAGCAAAUACCACUAAAUUCAUAAACAACCCCAUCUCCACCUCCAUCUCCAUCUUCACCAACCCCACCUCCACUACCACCACCUCCGUCGUCGCCUCCUUCAUAACCACUACCACCUCUAUGCCGCCCGCCCCCUCCAUAACCAUCACCUCCAUCUCCACCUCCAUUAUUUCUCUAACAACACAACCUUCACACCUCCAUCUUCACCAACCCCAUCUUAAUCGAUGCUUCAACCUCCUUCAACCCCGUUCAUGUUUCUUUCUCCACCUCGACUCAACUCCAAACGCGGAGCCGCCACUAUUCCGGCAACGCUCCAACCCCCCACUUCAAGCUGCCCAAACCUCCGCUACAAUCAUCCUUUAUGUAUAUAUUUAUAUUUGAGAGAUAUGUUAUAUACAAAAUAGUGAUCCGUGAUGUACAAAAUGGUGAUUACUGCAGUUAAAAAUAGUGAUUAAAAACUAACUGCAGUUAAAAAUAGUGAUUAAAAACUAGGUUUUUAGUUUGUAGGCUAAUUUAAUUUGUUUUGUAUUAGAGCAGGACUCUCCCUGUAUAUAUAGGAUAGUUCUAUGGAGACCGCUAUUUCAUGGGAGACCUUGAAGAGCACGUAUGUUCUCCAAUCAAAACACCACAAAAUACUUUCUACAUAAAUCACUAAUUCAUUAAAAUUGUUGAAGAUCAUCUGUGUUUAAAAUAAGUAGAAUGUCUAUGUUCCGCAAGUUGAACAAUGUUCUGCAAAGUAAACAUAUUUCGUAGGAUGAUACAUUUUGUCGUAAUCUCCUACAUGCAAAACAUAUAUGAUAUUCAAGAUUUUAAAUAAUUUAAUGAUCUUUGUACUACAUGAUUUGCAAAAUUAUACAUUUUAUAAUAUUUUUAUGCAAUUUUUUACUUGCAGAACAUAAGUGAUCUCCACGGUCUCCAGAAUAGUAGUCUCCAUAGAACUUAACUAAUAUAUAUAUAUAUAUAUAUAUGUUCACCUCCACCAUCUCCACCACUAUCACCAUCAUCUGAAUCGAAAACAUGAACAGAUCUGGAGAUUUUAAGCUAAGAGAACCACCUUAUAUAGAGUCUAGUAGAGAACACCUAUAUAUACACAUAAAUUUUUUGUAUCAAUCUCAUUAUUCGUAAAAUAUAUAAUUAGUGAAUCAAAAAAUAAAGUUUCAUCAUUUUUUCUCCAAAAAAGACAUUGAAAAUUAAUCAUAAUAUACAAACUGGUUCUAUAGUAGAACCAUAUUCAUCCAGAGUGAUUCUACAGUAGAACCAAAUUUAAAAGCAGUACGAGUUACAAUUUUUUAGUUUAAUCAAAAAUAAUAUCUUUCAUGAUCCGAAUUUUUAUGUAAUUCAUCAUAUAUAAGUUUUCUUAAACAAAAUUAUCAAUCAAUCAAUAACAUUUUUCAACUUUAACAAUUAUUAAGAUUCAUAGUUAAAUUGUUUAUACAUGUUAUGUAUGAUUAGUAUUCUACAUUAGAAUCAAAAUUUAUGCAUAAGUAUGUCUAAUUUUAAAAUUAUUAAUGAAACNGCUUAUUAGUUAUAUUGCAGAACAUAGUGUUCUCUGAUUUAUAAAAGCAAUUGUUCUACAUUUUGAUUACAAUGUUUAUAUUGUAGAACAUAAUCUACAGGUUAUCGAAUGUUUACAAAUAUUGUAGAAAAAAAAUUAAAUUUAGAUGACUAGAUUAUAUUUUUUGUCUACUCAAUAGAACUUAACUUUACACACACAUACACCCUCACACCCUCAAUGAGUUUUUUUUUUGAAAUACAUUUUCACUAAAACAUUCCCCUCGCAAGCCCUUCAGUGCUAGUUGCUAAGUAAAUUAUUAAAAGUACUAAACUUAUUUAUUUAUUAAUUAUUAAGUGAAAAUAUAAUAUAAUUUUUGAAAUACAUAUAUAAUANNNNNNNNNNNNNNNNNNNNNNNAUAUAUAUAUAUAUAUUCUUAAUUUUUAAUUUUUGUCAAAUUAUUCAACAUCCACAUCUCUUAUUUUAAAAAUUUUCAGAUUUUUAUAUCCCCGCUGCGCACACUCCAUGGACACUCGCACUAUGCUCCCAGCCCAUUAGAAUAUGGGCUGCUAUCCUGAAUCAGGUUCUCAUCCUCUAAUUCUUCUUAGAAGAAUUGAAGCUUACUCACCAUCUUGUGAAAAUGUUGUCAUAAUUCACCAAUAUGACUCUGUUCUCGCUAAUGGUUUGCAUAUCACAUACUCCGUACCUUCUUCCUUCAACAGGAAAGACAUAGCAAAAAGACAUCCACAUUAGUCAAAAAAUAAAAUUUGUUAUAGAUGAUGUGGAUAUAGAUUCAUAACUAUGCCAUAAACGCACAUAUGCAACGUUUUUGUGAAGUGUUGCCACCAUAGUGUUUCCAUAGCUGUCUCUUCGUGAUCUUUUGCUACACUGCUGAUUGCUCAAAAUAGUAUUGCAUUAGAAAUAUACUGUAUGUAGUGUUGCGUCACCAUCCUAGUGUUGGACAUAAUGUGCAUACUGUGCAACACUAGUGUUGCAUUAAAAUAAAGUAUUUCUCUAAUUAUAAAAAAAAUGUCACCAAGUAAUGUAUAUUAAUAAUUAUGUUUAAAUGUUUUCUUUAAAAAUUUAACAGAAAUUAUAUCAUGAUAUUUAACUUAUUACACACAUACACAUAUAUACAUAUAAGUAAAUAUUUUCACAUAUAUAGUAUCUAUAAUUUUAAUUUUAAAAAAAAUGAAACUUAUAAAUUAAUUCAAAAACUUUUAAAAACCAGAGCCUUUAAAGUUAAAUUGUUGAAGUGGGUAAAACUCCCUCCAACUUAAAUUUCCUCUUUACACUCUCACCGACACACAUUCCAUCACAUCUUUCAAACCCCUCUCACCUCUCUCAUGCCUCACAUCUGUGUCACCGCCCUGACCUCCAUCACAACAUCAUAUCUCCAUUUAUGAUUGCGGAUCUUCUUAACAUCUAGUUUUGGUUCUUCUCAGCAUCGCAUCUCUAACUAGGGUUUUGGUUUUCCUGACUAAAGAUUCGCUUCUCGAUUUGUGAGUUUUAAAACACGUUCGAUAAAUUCAAUUUACCAUUUGAGUUUCGACACCUACGAUCGUACUCGAUUUAUUUUUCCGGAUUAAUUGAACACUCGAAUUCUUUUAUAUUUUUGAUUUUAUAGGUAACUAGGGUUUCUGAUUUGGGACAUUCUAUACGGGCUUCGCAUUUAAGGAUUUAAAGACAAAAUAUAUCAAACUCAUUUUGAUUUUGUGCUUGACUAAUUUGUGAUUUCAAUUAGGAUUUUGUAUAUGUUAUAUAUAUAUAUGUAUAUAUAAGAAAAUAUUUUCACAUAUAUAUAAUCUGUAAUUUUAAUUUUAAAAAACUAAAACUUACAAAUUAAUUUUAAAACUUUUAAAAACUAGACCCUUUAGAGUUAAAUUGUUGAAGCGGGUAAAACUCCCUCCAAGUGAAAUUUCCUCUUUACACUCUCACAGACACACACAACAUCACAUCUUUCAAACCCAUCCCACCACUCUCACGCCUCACAUCUUUGUCACCGCCCCGACCUCCAUCACAACAUCGUAUCUCCAUAUGAUUGUGGGUCUUCUUAAAAUCGAGUUUCGGUUCUUUUUUGUAUCGGAUUUCAAACUAGGCUUUUGAUUUUCCCGAUUAGGGAUUCGCUUCUUGAUUUGGGGGUUAAUUUAAAGCAUGCUCGCUAAAUUCAAUUUAACAUUUGAGUUUCAACACCUCCGUUCAUACUCAAUUUCUUUUUUUUUUCUGAUUAAUUAUACACUCGAUUUAUUUUUAUAUUUUAUUUGUUUUUAUAGGUAAUUAGAGCUUCCAAUUUGGGACUUCUAUACGGUUGAUCGCCGCCUCCUUGUUCUGGAGGCUCUCCGGCCUGGCUUUGCAUUUAAAGAUUUAAGGAAGGUAAAAUAUCUGAAACUCAUUUAGGUUUUGUGCUUAACUAAUUAGGGAUUUCAUUUAGGAUUUUAUAUUUGUUUUAUAUUUGAUUGAUAUGACUUUUGUCCAAUUUGAAUCUUGAUUGAAAGGGAGAGGAGAUGUGGGCAUUGAUACCAUAUUUCAUAUUUUAAACUCAGGUGCAUAUCAUUCUCCUAAAUCUAAUGCUAUUUUACUAGAAUUUCUCAUACCUCUAAAAAGGUUUUGAUUGUUUUAAGUAUUACAUUAUUUUUAUGCACAUUUCUUGGUUAUGUACAUUCCUUGGAAUAAUAAACAAUGUAUUAUACCUUUGGAACUAAAGAAUACCUGCAAGGCGCCCCUUAAUGUCUUGAUGAAAAAUUUCCAACCACUAGCAGCUUAGCAGCUGAAAAUGGACAGAUGACAUUUCAACCUGGUAAUACAACUUUUCUGUAUGUGCAGCACUACAGCUCAAUAAAAAUAGAGUUCAAGUGGUCAUUGAGACAGAACUUCCUUUCUGAGUGUUCAUAUAGUAAUUUCUUUGUUAUAUAUUUCCCUAUAUAUAAAAAUACUUAUGGAACUUGCAAAUUUCUGAUAAGGAAGAUUGCAAAGAUCAUAUGUGUUUGCUUGGCAUUUCAAUCAAAUAAUUUGAUAUCUGUAGACUAGUAUAUUUAAUACAGAUCUAAAGAGAAAUACAGAAGCACAUGAUACAUUUUAGCAAAAGCGCUAUAAAUAGAUAGAUUAGAUUUGUAUAUGUUAAAACACUCAUGGAAGCAACAAACAUCCACUAUCUCCAUUAAAACCAUCAUGAACUCAUUAUUCCUUACAACUAGAAAGCUACUAUACUGCAUUGUUCUACUAUAACUAAAACUCUCAUUAUGACUAACUAACUAGAAGAAUGUAGCCUAUACUAUAUAUAUGUAAGAAGAAAAGUUAUUUUUGUAAGUGGUUGUGUAUUGCCACCACUUUUUGAGUUGUCAAUUAGUUGCUAAAUAACUGAGCAAUCUUCCUGUGGUUUUGAUCUAUGGUAAGUAUUGAUUAAGGAAUUUGGUUAUCAUUUUACCUUGAGUGGAUCUUAGGCCUUUAACAUAUUAAACAAAUCUAAUCUUGGGCCUCGACAUAUUACCUAGAGCAAAUCUUGGGUUUUAUUAAUAUAUUACCCAUAACUUGUCUUGGGCAUAACCAAAACUAAUCUUGGGCCUUUGACAUGAUAUCCAAAUCUAAUCUUGAGAUUUCGACAUGGUAUCCAAAUCUAAUCUUGGGCAUUCAACAUAUUACCUAGAGCGAAUCUCGGGCAUUCAUAGCAUUUAGAGCGGAUCCUGGAUGGCAUCUAAUUAAAGCAGAUCGUGGAUGGUGAACAAUUCAUAUGUGAGGAUGGAUGGAGAUGCUGCCAAGAUAAAUGAGGCACGACUCUUUAGAUAUGAGGAUGCACUGCUAAAGAUCAUAGAUCAUGUAUUUGGAGACUGUUGAAGAUUGUGAAGACAAUGUUGUGAAGACAGUAUCAUUUUCCUAAAUCCAAUGCUAUGUUACUAGAAUUUCUCAAACCCCAGAGGUUUCGAUAGAUUUCAAUAUUACAUAAUUUUAUAUGCACAUUUAUUAGUUAUGUACAUUCCUUGGAAUAAUAAACAAUGUUAUAAAUAGUAGACAGACUAUUGAGGUCCACAAAAUAUGAGGAUAUAACUGAUCUUAAUUUUAAACACUCAUCCUCUGCAUCAAUAGCAUUAAAAAAUGUGAACUAAAAUGAUAAUUCCUGUAUUUUAUAUUUUAUGUUUAUUACUCUUGGUGCUAAAAUGAUAAAGUUAAUUAAAAAAAUGUUUGAUUUGAUAUAUAUACCAGGAUAUACCUUCAAUUGAUGUAGGUUAGUAUGCAUUUAGCAUUAACUUUCAAUGACACAUAGUAUUGUAAAAAUCUAGCAUCAUAUUCAAGAUUAUGGAUGUAGGUCAUACGUGUUUGCUUGGCAUUUCAGUCAAAGAAUUUGAUAUAUGUAGACUAGUAUAUUUAAUACGGAUCUAAAGAGAAAUAGAGAAGCACAUGAUACAUUUGUAGCAAAAGCUAUAAAUAGAUAGGUGUUUUCAAAUUCUUCACCUUACUCCAUAGGGACAAAACACCAUGAGCUAAACAGGUAUGUCCAUAUCUUCCCAAUAAAGAUCACCAUCAAAUUCAUCGUACACAUCAGGGCAAUCCAAGCGUCUGAGUUUUGCUCUUGAUGAAUCUCUGGAAUGUUGCAGCAUGUCAUCGGCAACUGUUGAUUCAUCAUAUCUAUUUAUCCUUUCAUAACCGUUGAUGGACAUUAUUUUUAGCGAUGGGGAAUGGCCUAGUAGAAAUCGUACUAGCUCCACCUCGGCUCUUAAAUGAUGGAAUUUAGAAAACGUGACAAUUUCAAGAUGAUUUAUAGUACAAUCCUCGGAAUCAUCUAUACAAUAAUUUUUGAGAUCCUCUUCACUGUCUUUCUUUUCGGGAAAUGAGUCGGCCUGAUCAUGGAAGAGACAUCACAUAAUUGUUAACCAGUAGCUAAUUAAGUUACAGUGAUACAUGAGUUGAUCAGGUGCGCAUAACUCACCUCAAUAUGGAGUUUGCACAAGUUUGGAGCACUCCGAAUCAAACAAAGCAAACAAGAAAUCUCCGAUAGAUCAAAGAAAUUCAUAUCAAAGAUAUUUAGAGUCUCUAGGUAAGACAGUGGCUUAGAAAGUCUACACGGAGAACCUCCUGCAGCCAAGUACUAAAGAAAAGUUUGAAACAAAGAGGCCAAACAAUUAGACAUUGAUGAGUAAUGUUAAUUUGAAGCAGGCAACAUAAAGAAAAUCAAAAUAUUACCUUUAGAGAAUACUUUGCCAGAGAGACCCUCUUAAUUUUAUGAACCCCACCGAGAACCUUGGCCACAUUGGAUGUUUUUGCCUGCGUGACUGGGUGUCCUGCCAGCAUGAAAGAAUAUUCUGAAAGAUUUUUUAACCCAACUAGAGAAUAUUCUGAAGUUAUUUCUCGAUAUAUUUGAACUAAACGUUUUAGAUUAGGUGCGCAAAAGUUGUUAGGGAAGAGUCCUUCGCAAAUUAUCAAGGUCAACUUCUCAAGCACAGGGCAAUGGAAGAUGCUUUUUCCAAAAUUAGAAGUAGCAUCAACUAGCUCGAGAUUAGUCAGGCAAGUAAAUUUUCCCAAUGUAGGUGUAUAGGGAAACCAAACCCUCAAAAGUGUCAAAUGAGUGAGGUCUAGAGAAGAGAGAUUGUGUCUCCUAAAGUCUUCAAGUUUAGAAGAUUCAUCCAGAGUGAGCUGCUUGAUACCCUUCCUUGCAAACAAUGGAAUCCAUUGAUCGAUAUAUUCGUGAAUUAUUUCUUUACUGAAACCAUACUCAGUAUUGUCAACAGCAGGAAAAGUGAGGGAAAAUUUGAGGAUUGGACCAUUGUGGAGUAGGAGAACUUUAUUUAUCACACUAACAAGUUUAUGCGCCCUCAGUUCUGGAUUACGAAUUCCAUCUAAUUUCGACAUUAUGCGAUCAACAAACUCGAAAUCAAAUAUUAAAUUUGGAAUCAUAGUCCAACAAUGCCUCCAUUUUGUUGACAAGAUACUGCUUUUGACUGCAUCUUGUAUUGGCAGAAAACCUAAGAUAGUUUCUUGUAAGUUCUGGGGCAGCUUACUGAUUCUAUCUUCCUUCAUACGGUGGAUCUUUUUCGUACUGGAUUCUGUAGAAGGCACCAUUGUCUUCUGCAUUUAAAAUGUUCUGAUCAAUGUUAUUCUGUUUAAGACAUUCAUCUAACAGAUCCAGGUAGUACACUCUAAAGUUCAAUAAACUUUCCAACAUCUGAUUAACGCAAGAAUAAUAUGAAAAUUAAACAAAACAAACACUAAACUUCUUCCAAAUCUGUUGAGCUACUCGUUCUUCUAAAACUGAAAUGUUGCAAAAAAGACUUUCCAGGAUAUAUCUUGUAUCAUAUUUCACAUCCAAACCUCCAGGACCACUGUUUUCUUUGACAUUCCCCUCCGGGAAAGUCCAUUCAUUUUAGUCAAAGAGUGGGUACAAUUACUCCUUCGGUUCCGGCUUUAUUUUCUAUUUCCAAUUUUCUUUCUCCCAAAGUGAUUUUUCACAUUAACAAGUUAAUGAUAAAUUAUAUGUUAAAUAUGUUAUUUUUUCUAACAAACCAGUCAAAAUUUUGGUAACAUCUAUCUUAUUUAUUAUAAUAAUUGAAUAAAGGAUGAAUUUUGACAGGUAGACAAGAAAAGCAAAACUCAGGGAGUAUUAAUUACUAGGUGGGUCCCAUCUUUAGGCCUAUAGUGCAACAUUUGUCAUAAUUAUUAGGUAAAGAACUCGUUCCAUAUAUUUAUGACUCGUUAUAAUAUAAUAUUUUUAAGUAAUAAGGAUAUUGGGGGCAGGAGAAUAUUUUAAUAUAAUUGGCUAAAAUGAUUAUAAGAUUCUCGGUAUACUACAAACUAAUUAACUUACACCAGUUUAUUUGAUUAAUGGAACAAAAUGAUAACCCUAAACAAUGUGAUAGUUUAGGGCCCUUAAAAAAUACCUCUAAAUUGUACAACAUCACGGUAUGGUUACCUAAUUUUUCAACAAGUAUAAACACAGGUUUGCUUGACAUUUUCGUCACUCGAAAGCUAAUUAUUUUAGUCAAAUACUUUGUGAGGAUUAAUCGACCAAGAAAAAACCCAUACAUAUAAGAAUAUAACUAAUGGGGAACACUGUGAUAAUUUAGGGUCUUUAAAAAAUACCUCCAAACUAUAGCCUAAUUUCUUAGACAAGUAUAAACACACAGGCUCUAGCAUAAUUGGUAGAACAUAAAUUGAAGCUGUUAAGGUAGUUCAUAUUUACAAUACAUAUAACCAGCAAAACAAGAUUUGAAACAUUAAACUGAAAAAUGAAAUGGAAACGCAAGCCCAAAAAGCUUACCACUCUUUGUUGACAAGCACCAGAUGGACUGCUUCACCUCACAGUGUAGAAGCAGCCACAAAACAAUAGUAGAUGAUACAAAACCCUAGGAUGAGCGUAUGGUCUUCACUUAUUAGUAUUUAUAGGAGUACUAAUUAGGGUUCGCGUGGUGGGGUAAGCCCAUCCAAAAGAUCAUAUUUAACCUAAAAGCCCAUUUUAUUUAUUAAUCCGUGUCCUAAAAAGUUUUUAUUAUUUAUUAGCAAGAAAAAGGUUAAUUUUAUCUUUAUUAGAUACAUAUUUGUUAGCUGUGUUUUUUUUAAAAUUUCUAAUUCUUGUUAUUUUUCAAAUAUUCAUAAUUCAUUAAAAUUUUUGUUUAGAGAUAUAUUAUUUUCUUAAAAAAGUUUAAGUACAUUAAGCGUAUAAGGUUAUAAUUUGGUAUAUUCAUUGUUUUGUCUUUUCAUUUAGGUGUGAUUCAUAUCCUUAAAUUUAUAAUUUCGUCAUUUUCGUGUUACAAAAAAUAGUUAGGACCACUUAAGUGCAUUUAAGUCUAAUUUUAAUUAUAUUGACAAGUAUGUAGAAUUUUUUUUGAUAAAUAUUUAAAAAUAUAUUGGACCGUGCAUUCGGUAAAAAACAAACCUAAUCGAAUUAAAAUUCGGUUAAUAAAAGAAUAACUGAUUUUAAAAUUGAACCAAAACUAAUAUUUUGAUUAUUCUCGAAAAUUGAAUUAUAAAUAAAAAUUCAACCACGGUUAUUAAAAUCAAAUAUUAAAAAAUAAUAAAAAAUAAAAAUUUAUAAGUACCAAAUCAUAUAUUAAAAAAAUGCAAAUACCAAAACUUUCAAAUAAAAUUACGAGUUUACAUUUAUGACAUAGCAAAAAGCACUGUCCUAUAUUUGUUUAAAGUAUAUUAGCUAUUGAACUAAAGUAGCGAAGUGAAAAUAAGUAUGCGGACAAUAUCUGUUUAUGAAUAGAUAUUUAGGUGUCAUUAUUAAUUCAAACAUAAAUGUAUUGUAAAAUAUGAUUAUUUUAAUUAACUGUUUGGUUUUAAGUUAAUCGUAAUUGAAAAUUUGAAAAAUCGAAAAACUAAAUUGUAGGUAUUUGCCUACCAAAAAUCGAACUAUUUUUUUUCAAUUAGCUAGUUUGAUUUUCGGUUAACGAACCAAAUGCUCACCCCUGUAAAUAUGUAUAUAUAUAAAUACAAUAUUAACAUGUUUAUAACUACAUUAACAAGUAUAUAUAGUACCAUCCAAUAUUCAUUUUCAUUCGUAUUCCUUUAAUUUGAUUAAAUAAUUGUGUCAACCAAUAUGAUUCUAGAUCUCGAUCGCUUUGGACAAAGAAUUAUUUAGAAAUAAAUGAGUAACACACUUAUUAAAUUUUAACUUUGUUGAAACUAUUAUUUUGAUCAAUAAUUUAAAACUUAACUACUACACAUGAGUGAGUAUUUCUCAACAGAAGCCAACCGAUCUUAUUAACAAUUUUUGAUGUUUUUAUUUAUUUCAAUUCAAUUGUGAUGUGAUUCGUAUUUCAAUACAAUUUUGAUUGUCGAGUUGAUUUUGGUUUUAUUAUUUUAGGACUAGAAUAUAUAUAUAUAUAUAUAAUUAUUUAUUUAUUUUACGUGAUAUUAAUCAUAUCUUAUAUAUAUAUUGUGUUUUGUUAUAUUAUAUGUGAAUAUAAUUAUAUCUAUUAGCUACACCCUCUAUCUCAAUCAAUUCUUUAUAUUAAAGGAAGUUUUGGUUGUUUAUGACUGGUGAUAAUUUUUAAAUUAAGCUGUUUAAUGUUUGUUUGUUACUGGAAUUCGAAGUUAUGUUUAGUUAGCUUGUGGUUACUCUUGUCAUGGGAUGAUAAUUCCCUGAUUAUGAUAUAUAUUAUGAAAUUGUUUGUGCUAAUUUUAAGAUUUAUUAAUUUCAAUUCUCUUUCAGUUCACAUACAUAUUGGAAGAGUAUUGAACAGUCCUCCGAGAAUACACAAAUAGGGUGAUGUGAACUUAUAUAUACGAGAUUAUGUUUAUAUAUGAAGUGUGAUGUUACUAGUUUUCAUCUCAAAAAGUGAAGGGAUUACGCGGCUUUGUUGACAAAGCACCAUAUGGAUUGCUGCACCUAUCCUUAAUAGUGUAGAAGAAGCCACAAAACAAUGGUAGAGGAUAUAAAACCCUAGGAUGACCGUUACAAUGGGUCGGGUAAGCCUUCCAAAUGUUCGUAUUUGAUGUAAGAAGGAUUAAAGUUGAAAUAUUGACUUCCACUCUGAAAAUAUUCUCGGAAUAUUCGUUUAGUUGUUGCAAAAGCCAUGUUGAUAAAUUUUCUUAUGAUUUUCUUUUUACAAUAAGAGUUUGUGAGCAUGUAAAAUGGCGGGAAAAGAAUACCUCUCAAAACUUCAACACCAUCAUUCAACUUCAUCAAGAACUCAAUAAGUCUCAUAUCAUGUUUGAUUUCAACAGUUUCGUAGAGAUAGUACCUACAAGAAAAAUCAGAUAUUUUUGACCGAUUAUUUCUGAACGCCUUAUUUGUGACCGAAUGCGAUCAAAUUUAAUUAAAUUUGACCGGUAUUGGUGGUCAAAUUUAACCGUUUCCGUUGUAGUGAGUGCAAGUACCAUUGUCACAAUUACGGACCAGAAGUGGAUCAUUGGAGUCCAAUUAAUCCGAGAGCAUCUUAAUUUUUGUGAUGAAAGUAGAUAUAUUAUCAUUACCUUGUUUGAUUUCAUACAAAGCUUGUUGUGUUUCAAAACGUUGUGUGCCUUAUGUUUAACCAUAUCUUUUUUCAAGAUUCAUCCAAAUUUUCCUAGUCGUAGUAAAUAGAGAACACUUCUAGCAAUAUUCUGACCAAGGAAACCUCAUGAUCAAGAUGUCAACAUACUGUUACAACGAUCCCAGGCUGUAUAAGUCACUUCAUGCAAUCUUGAUUUGAUGAUACUUCCAUCAACAAAUCUAAUUUUGUUUUUAGCAGACAAACUCAAAAUCAUUGAACAUUUUCAAUCGUUAUAGUAAUCACCAUCACCACUAAAAAUUAGAGAAACAAGCUUCAUACUAGGAUUAUCAGACGAAUGUAGAAAUAAUUAUUAAAUUAGGACUAAGUGAAGGAUCAUUAACUCAGUGUUCUAGCCAUAGAAAACCCCUCAAAGAAUUGAGAAAUAUAUCAAAGUAAAUGGAAACACGAGGAAAUGAUUAAAUCAAGACCGAUGUAACAUCAAAAACAUUAAGAUUCAACCGGAAAAACAUCAUGAAACAAGAAUGAAAUGAUAAAAAUUACAAACAAAUGCAAACCAGAUAAAGAGGAAGACCGUAAGAGAGAUCGAGAGAGAAAUCACCAGAGAUAUGGCUACAAACAUGUGUACAAGAUCCGCAACAAACUAAAUAAAGACCGUCGUUUGUAUACCAUGUUAAGAUACUCAUGGAAGCAACAAACAUCCACUAUCUCCAUUAAAACCAUCAUGAACUCAUUAUUCCUUACACCUAGAAAGCUACUAUACUGCAUUGUUUCUACUGUAACUAAAACUCUCAUUAUGAAUAACUAACUAGAAGAAUGUAGGCUAUACUAUAUAUAUGUAAGAAGAAAAAUUAUUUUUGUAAGUGGUUGUGUAUUGCCACCACUUUUUGAGUUGUCAAUUAGUUGCUAAAUAAAUGAGCAAUCUUCCUGUGGUUUUGAUCUAUGGUAAGUAUUGAUUAAGGAAUUUGGUUAUCAUUUUACCUAGAGUGGAUCUUAGGCCUUUAACAUAUCAAACAAAACUAAUCUUGGGCCUCUGACAUAUUAACUAGAGCAAAUCUUGGGCUUUAAUAUAUUACCCAUAACUUGUCUUAGGGCAUACCCAAAACUAAUCUUGGGCCUUUGACAUGGUAUCCAAAUCUAAUCUUGAGCCUUUGACAUGGUAUCCAAAUCUAAUCUUGAGAUUUCGACAUGGUAUCCAAAUCUAAUCUUGGGCAUUCGACAUAUUACCUAGAGAGAAUCUUGGGCAUUCAUAGCAUUUAGAGCGGAUCGUGGAUAGCAUCUAAUUAAAGCAGAUCGUGGAUGGUGAACAAUUCAUAUGUGAGGAUGGAUGGAGAUGCUGCCAAGAUAAAUGAGGCACGACUCUUUAGAUAUAAGGAUGCACGGCUAAAGAUCAGGGAUCAUGUAUUUGGAGACUGUUGAAGAUUGUGAAAACAAUGUUGUGAAAACAAUAUCAUUUUUCUAAAUCCAAUGCUAUGUUACUAGAAUUUCUCAAACCCCCAGAGGUUUCGAUAGAUUUCAAUAUUACAUAAUUUAUAUGCACAUUUAUUAGUUAUGUACAUUCCUUGGAAUAAUAAACAAUGUUAUAAAUAGUAGACAAGCUCGUUCUAAGAUAGAGGCACUAUUGAGGUCCGCAAAAUAUGAGGAUAUAACUGAUCUUAAUUUUAAACACUCAUCCUCUGCAUCAAUAUGUAAAUUUUAUUAAAAAAUGUGAACUAAAAUUUUAUUUUAUAUGAUAUUCAUCCUAUCUUAUAUGUAAAUUUUAUUGUAUUAUGUUAUAUUAUAUUUGAAUAUACUUUUAUUUAUUAGCUACACCCUCUGUCUCACCGAAUUCCUUACAUUGAGUGAAGUUUUAGUUGUUUAUGAUUGGUGAUAAUUUUUAAAUUAAGCUAUGUAAUGUAUGUUUGUCAUUGGAAUUCGAAGUUAUGUUUAGUUAGGUCGUGGUUAUUGGUUUCACGGAAUGAUAAUUCCCUGAUUAUGAUCUCCAUUAUUAGCGUGUUUAUGCUAUGGCGACUAAGGGGAGACAAAGUGACGGUUUUACUCGCUGGAGGAACAAUGGAGGUGGAACUUUCUACGAGGGGAGACAUUCAAAUUGGAAUACCUCUUUAGAUUCUAGCGGACUCAAAGAAGAAUGUUUCGAGUUAGUACGCAAGAACAUUGAGCGGUUAAAUGAAGAUGAAAAGCAACAUCUUAAAACCUCGCCUGAAAGAAGCCAUAAUCAAGGAUAACUUGAAACUUUCCAGAUUUGCGAUUCGAAGAAUCCAUUUCUUAGCUAAGCAUGUACAACGAGGGCUAUUAGAAGGGGCUUUAGCAGGAGUGGAAAAGGCACCAUAGGAUCUACAAGACUUAUUGUUAAGUAAAGGUCAAAGGAAAAGGGCAAAUAUUUUAAAAAAAAUCAGAAGUGCUGGAGACGGUCUCUAGAAAGCAAAGAGAAGCUGAAAAAAGGGACCCGAUGAACUUCAUAUGGGAUCACAAAGAGUUUAUUGUUGUGUUUCGAUGCAUAAAACACAGCGAAAAAAAUUAAAACAAUAUAAAUUUCAAAACCCAUCGCAUGAUCCAUGCAAAAAUAAAUAUGUAAUUCAUGGAUUAGAUAUUUAUUAUAAAGUGAUUUACAAUUUGGUUGUCUAAUGGAGGUCCAAGCUUCAAUGAUCACCACGUAUCCCAUCACGAUAUGAUCUACGCCUUGAAGGUAUCCACAAUCUUACGGAGGAUGAGCGUGUACCAGCACCCGAAUCUUCUUGCUCUCUCUAUCUCUCUAGCUCAAAAGCUGCUAGGGUUAUGUGUAUUUUUACAAUAUAAAAACGUAAACCCUAAUCUAGGCUUAAGAGAUUAUAUAGAGAGUGGAAAAAGAGUACUCCUAACUUUAAAAUGAUUUUCGAGUUAUAAAAAAUAUGAAAUUCCUAAUCAUAUUAGACUUAGUCUUACUCAAUCAACCAACAACAUAAUUUCAAUUUAUUAAUUAAUUCAAAUUCCUUAUUUAUUUAAUUAAUUGAGUCCCACUCAAUUAAUCAAUAAAUAAUUUGAACUAUUACCAUUUUAAUAUAAAUUCAAAUUUAUAUUAAAUAAUCCUCCUUCAUUCUUUGUGUGACCCUUAAGGUUAUUAUUACAUUGGCAAUAAUUUUAAUAUCUUAUAUUAAAAUUAUAAACAAUGAGCGGCAUAUAGUAAUAUAUCAUUACUACCCAAGUAAUAAUAAUUAAAAUCAGUUAUCAAUUAAUUAAACCUUUCAUGAAUAACGUACAAUAUUUAUAAUACUUUUAACCUCAUAUUAUAGAUUAAUUUAGAAGCAUGUAAUUUGUCAUCCUCAUUAUAGUUCAAUCCGAGUUUCCUUGAUCAAUGAGUAGACUAAUAUUUCAAGUCAACAUUUGAGUGUGACCACGCAUUUCAUAGUCUAUAUCCACAAGAAACCAAUAUCUCUCCGAAAAUAGGAGGGUUAAAUCCUUUCUCGAUCAUUCAUAUUUCUCAUACGAUUUAUAAUGUACCAGAAGUCCACUUUUAUCAUUAAAUCGGUCAAAGGCAACUUAAAUGUAAUCAAAGUAUAUUAGCCAUCGUAUAAAAAUAUAACUGAUUUCAAGUCUAAGGAUCAUUACAUCAUUAUUAUCACUGUGAGAUUACUUAUGACACAAUACACUUGAAGAAUCUCAUUAGGUCUAUCCAACAGCAUAUAUAUAUUUCAUUCAUGUGCUUGUGUUCUUGACUUUAGUAUCACGUACUAUACCUAUGAUCAAUAAGAUGUGGUCAUUAGUCAACAAAACACACUAGUCUUAAUGUAUUAUCAUCGUUCCAUAUUAAUAAUACUCGACUACAGAUGUUUAGAAAUAUCAGUACUAUAUAUUGUUAUAAUCUCAUUUCUAAGUCACGUACUUAAAGAUAUAGAAUUUAUAUUAUAUUCCACGGACAUUUAUUAAUCUAACAUUUAUAACGCAGUAAAUAAAGAUAUAAUAAAUUAUAAAAGGAAUAAUCAAUAAAACAAUGUUAUUAAUAAUCAUAUGUCAUACAUAUUCUUUAGUAUGUCUAUGUGCCUUAUAUUUGUAGGGAUCAAGUCAUACCUAUUCUCGGAGGCCAAGAUGCCUAAACCUAUCCAAGGUAGGUUUCUUGUGGAUAGGCUUAUGUCCAAGACGGUGGCCUAUAGCCUGCAAGGGUCUUUUAAAAUCUUUUAGGGUCUUCAGCAAAGGCGGUUCUGAUAAGUUCAGAAGGCAGCCCAUUCCACCGGGGCACAGUCAUAAGGCCCAGUACCUCCCUCCAACUUGGUAACUUCACGAAUAUGACAUUUGAUCAGACUGUCCCCUAGUGCUUGUGAAUGAGUCCUUACCCCCAGUGAGGCUAAAUCACUAGAAUACAGGACAAGGUCUCCCCCAAAAUAAUGGCAUAUAUAAUCAACCCGAUUCCUCAAUGAGGAUAACCCAUCAGAAUACAAGUUCUAUAUGUAUGAUCAUUUUCAGAUAAUCCCGGAGGGUCUUUGAUAAAUGAUAUAAUCACCUUAAGCCCAUACACGAGGAUAACCCGACAAAAUAUAUACGUGAUUGAGGAUUGCAUAUCACAAUGGUCAAUGGGUAGGGCUUCGGAAGCCAUGGGCAUCAAAUACCCUCAGAGUGGCCUUCACUAGUAUUCAGGGACAUCACCCUAAGGAGGGGCCAUCUAUCAAAAUUCUUAUGGUGUAGCAAAGCCAUUUUUUUUUCCUCCUAAGACGAGCCCUUAAGGGAGCACCCUUCCUUCAUAUGACAAUCCCACCAGGGGCGCCCCCUUUCUCCAGGGAAAGUAGUCUCUUCUUACUUACUUUAUCAAAUAGACCAAUAAUAUCAGGCUCAUAUAUAAGACAAUGAUCCGGUUCAUUAGCAUGUAGACACAUUUUGCGUAUAAAAUGAUUAAAAUAAAAUGUUUAAAAGUAUAAGAUACUCUGGAGGUCAUCCUCUUACACUUAAUAAUUUUAGAUGUGUUGGUUACUUCAUAUGAUAUCAGAGUCGGAGAAGAUUCAGUUUAUAUCUCUUCAAAUCAAUUUAUUUUAUUUAAAUAUUUAUGUGUAUUGAUAAUUGAUGAUGGUAAUACGCCUUUUUUUUCGAAAAUAUGAUGGUAGUACUCCUGUAUGAUGUUUUUCAAUCAUAUGAUUUUGAAGCAGUUUUAAAGAGUAUAAGAUCAUCUGGGGUCUUCGUCUCUAACUUUAAUGUACUGUAGCUUAUCGAAGCUCAUAGUCAAUCUAGAAUAAGAUGAUGAAAAAUAAAGAAUUCGAAUAUCAUGGAGUAAAAAAAACUUUAUUAAUCGCAAAAACAUAUUGCGAGCCUAUAGUUCGAGAUAAUCAAAUUAACAAUAUAUUAAUGUGCUAGAGUUAAGUUCAAUGGAGACCACAUUUUUUUUGGAGACCUGGAGACCACAUAUGUUCUGCAAGUAAAAUAUUUCAUAAAAGUAUUGCAAAACGUCUAAUUUUGCAAAUCAUGUUCUACAAAAUCAUUAUUUCAUUUAAAAUCUUAAAUAUCAUAUAAGUUUUACAUGUGGAAUAUUACAAAAUAUUUUGUUCUAUGAAAUAUGUUUAGUUUGCAGAACAUUUGUUCAACUUGCAAAACAUACAUUAUCUACUUAUUAAACACAGAUAAUCUUCAACAAUUUUAAGAAUACAUGAUAUCUGCAGAACAUAUUUUACAAAAUAAUGUAUUUUAUAAUGUUUUGAUUGCAGAAUAUACGUGGUCUCCGAGGUCUCUGAUGAAAUAGCGGUCUCCAUUGAACUUUCCUCUAAUGUGCUAUAAUAAAAAAUUAUUUUCAAAGAGGUGACGUACCAUUAUAGUCUAACGAUCCUUUCGCGUAAUUAACAAAGUUCGAGUUUUACUUACAUUUCAUAUUAAAAGAAAAUAUAUCGACAUACGCAGUAAAAAAUUGGUGCGGUGGUUGAGUUCUAGUAUCCCAUUGUGGGAGGUCAGAAGUUCGAGCAUCAUGCCUACAAAAAGCCUGUUUGGGGCAAUUUUAAGAUGGGGCUUAAAACUGUUUCCAACUUUAAGCUGAAAAAUGUUUGUUAGUGUAAUAAGUCAGAAGUCGUAUUAAAAUCAGAAAUAAGCCAAAAUCUGACUUAAAGUCAUAAGUUAGUUUUAGGUACUUUUUUCAGUGACUUAAUUUUUUUGAACUUUUUUUUCGAUAAAAAUUACCCAUAAGUCAUAAGUUACUCAUAAAAUACUUCUAUUUUUAUCUUUAUAUUUUUAAUAACCAAUAAGCCGUUAAUAAGUCAAUAUUACCGAAACAAACAUUUUAAAUUCUCAGCUUAUCAGAUAAGUCACGUUAAGUCAUAAGUCACGUUAAGUCAUAAGUCAUAAGCUCAGCCAAACGGUCUCAAAAUUUGUAAUGAAAGAAAUAAUUUUUUAUAUGCUUAAUCUUCCGUUUUCAGUGAAAGUUUUGAUGGAAUCAUAUCAUGUGUCAUAAAGGAACACCACCGAAAAAUCAUACAAAUGAGUAGGUUUUGCAAAAAUUAAACUUAUCCAGAAAUAAAAAAAAUAAGCAGCAUCCAUCAAUUAUAUUGAUUGCUCUUUUAUCGAGUAUGUGAAUAAGAAAAUACUAAAAAAGUGCUAUUUAUGAAACAUGUAAUUAAAAUAUUAUUCCAAUUAAUAUCUUGAAAAUUAUGUUAAGUUUGAUAGUAAAGUAGUGCAAGAUUAAUAUUGAUUUAUAAUCAUUUUUUACUUGUAAAAGAUACAAGAUCUUUGAAAUGUUUUAAGGGAAAUUUAUAUGCUGCCAAUGUAGAUUUGGUUUUUUCAAAGUAGUAUGAUCGGCUAUUUUAAACUUACAACUAGUAACAUCGAACUAUUAACUUCUUUCAAAUUACACAAUAAUCUAACAAAGAGGUCGUUUGGCUGAGUUUAUGAGUUAUGACUUAACGUGACUUAUGACUAACGUGACUUAUCGGAUAAGUUGAGAAUUUAAAAUGUCUAUUUGGGGCAUUUUGACUUAUUAACGACUUAUGUGUUAUUAAAAAUAUAAUGAUAAAAAUUCAAAAAAAUUAAGUCACUGAAAAAAGUACCUCAAACUAACUUCUGACUUAAGUCAGUUUCUGGCUUAUUUCUGAUUUUAAACCGAUUUCCGAAUUAUUACAUAAUAAACAGAUUUUUUUCAGUUUAAAGUUGGAAACAACUUUAAGCCCCAGCUUAAAACUCCCCCAAACAGGCUCAAAGUGUUAUAAUUUGAAAGAAUUCAAUAUUGAAAGACCACAUGAUCGUAUCACUUGGAAAAGCAAACUCUACGGUGAUAGGUUAGGAAUUUCCCAUUUUUUAAUAUAAAGAUGAUAUUUAUAAGACAUAUUUUACAAAACAAUACAGUUCAAAAUAUUACAUAAGUGCAAGUCCAACAUCUGCCCUAUUUAGUGUUCUAAGUCAUAAUAUAAAGCACUUGAUUAAAAAGAUUAAUCCAACAAUGUCCUAGUGAUGCCUUAAAAUAUUAGGACACCUGACAAGUGCCUUAUUAAUGAGGCAUUUAUUAUGCAUGCCAGCAAGUCCAACAGUGUCUUAGUAGAAGCGCUAUAUAUAUAAUAAUAUAUAAUGUCCUAGUGAUUUAGGACACUAUACACAUAAAUCUAUUCCAACAAUAUGCCUUAUCUUCAUGUCUUAAUAUUAAAAUAUUAAUAUAUUUGAAUACAACAAUAUAUAAGCGAAAAGGUGUGAAAAGAAAGAGAAAGUGAAUAUUUUAUGGAUUAAAAUGGUUUAGGACAAGUGUGGUAGUGCCCUAUAAAUAAGCACAUGUAGUGUGUCUUAGUGUUUUAAGAGCAAGUCCAACAAUGUCUUAAAAAGUGCCUUAUAUAUAUAAUAAAAAAUGAUGUCCUAGUGAUUUAGGACAUCAUUUUAAUAUAACAACUCCAACAAUAUGCCUUAUUAUUGUGCCUUAUUAUUUAAAUAAUAGUAUAUUUGAAUUAUUGUUGGAGGGAAGUGAAAAAAAAGAAGAAGAGAGGUGUGUUGGAAUGUGAUCAAGCUAAUAUUUUAUUGAUAAAAAUGAUUUAGGGCAUGCAUGAUUGUGCCUCAAAAAUAAUUCAUUUGUUAGAUGUCCUAGUGUUUUGAGGCACCACUAGGACAUUGUUGGAGCUCCAUUUUACUUCAAUGCCUUAAAUUUUGAUUUAGGACAUGAUUUUAGGGCACUCUUGGACUUGCUCUAAGGCACUAGGACUGUUGGAUUACAUCUUUAUCUCAAAUGCCUUAAAUUUUAACUUAUGACACUAUUAUAGGGCACUGUUGGACUUGCUCUUAAACCUUGACAAUCAAUAAAAAAUUAGUUUCAUUUCAUCUCUCUCUUCCCUUCCUUUUCAUUUCCCUCUGAUAAUGUUAAAUAUAUUAGUACUAUUUUAAUAAUAGGACUUGUGGAUAAGGCUUCUUGUUGGAGUGAAUGUAUAAAAGUAAUGUGCUAAACCACUAGGACAUCAUAUUUUAUUAUUUGGUGCUAUUUUGCAUUUACUAUUGGACCAUAAAUUCUAUUUUAACACCAAAAACCACUUUUUGAUUUCAAAUUAUAACAAUGACUAUAUAUUUUCAAAAAAAAAAAUGACUAUAUUUAUUUUAACAUCACAAUUGGAUUUGCUCUAAUAUUAGAUUACACUGGCUUUUAUUUUGAUCCAAAUUAAAGAAAUUGAACCGACCAAAUUUUCAAAACAUCAAAAUCCAACCGAAUCAAAUUUAAAUACCUUAAUUUAAAAUUUCAGUUAAAUUUUCUUUGGUCCGUUUUUUCCAAGAAAAUUAGCAAAUACUAGGAAAAUACUUUUUGUCAAUACGGAAAAAAGAUUCUCACACGGACACACAAAGUACAAUACACACGAGUUAAGUUAUCAUCUACAACACUUUAUCACUUUAGAUACUAAAAAGACAAACAAAAGUCUUGGCCUGCCGCUCAAAAUAAAAAAGGAGAAGCAUCAAUGGCUGCUGCUGUACUAAACACAGUGUCAUCAAUCAGAUUAUCAAAUGUUAAGACUAACCCACUUCGAGUUCCACGCCUUUUAGCUACCCCAUCUGUUUCUUUUGCUCGUAAGCUCACUCUACUAGUUAAAGUUUCGAUUUUUAGCUCUGUUUUAGAUUUGUUUUCUUCAUAUUGUUGAAAUGUUAGUGUGUUUUUUGGUUUAUUUAUAUUGGGUUUGUUAAUCUUGUUUUGUAUUUAAUUAGGCCGGCAGCUUACGAUCAGAGCAACAGAAACAGAUGCAAAUGAAGGUAUGAAUAAAUUAAUGACUGAUUGGGUUUAGUUGAAGUCCUUUUAAAGAGAAGCUAUUUGUUUUUUUGAGUUUUUUUGUUGUUAAAAUGAAAUAAAAUUUGUAUAGUUGUACAUGAAAGCAAGCAACAAGAUGGGCUGAUGUAAUAAUGAAUUAAAUUUGAGCUGGAAUAUAUGUGUUGUGUGAUUAUGAAUUUUGUUGUGGCAGUUAAACCUCAGGUACCAGAGAAGGCACCGGCGGGCAGUGGUUCGGGGUUUAACCAGAUACUUGGUAUUAAAGGGGCCAAGCAAGAAACAGUAAGGCCUUUACAUUUCUGUUUUAUGUAUUGUAACUAGAUCUUAACAUUUGUGUUUUAUGUAUAGUAAACUGGGCUAACUUCUUGGUUUAGUUUAGAAUUUUUUUUAGGAGUUGUAAAUUGUAAUUUCUUGGUAAACUAAUCACACAUCAGAUACCUGGAAUAUAUUGUUAUAAUCGCUAGGCUAUAAAUAAUAAUGUUCUUUGCUUCAUAGACAUUGUAUCUCUCCAGAUAGCAAGGUUUGGCUGGACCCACCACGAGCACCCUGUGGUUCCAACCCUGGGUGGCAUUGGUAGCUAAAAAUUGAUACUUUUACCCUUUCUUGUCAACCCAAAAGCUUGCUACCAAUUAUAGUAAAUCAGUUGUUCGCCUUAUAUUUCACAACUAGAGGGUCAAGUUAUUACAGUUUGGUGAAAUGUGGCACAUAAUGCCACAUUUCAUAUGCCAAUUUACCACAAUUUCGUAAUUAGGACCAACUAUAUCACCAUUAGGAGACAUUUAUAGGAGCGUAAGGUGAAACACAUUGGAGACAUAAAUCACAUGUGGAAAGUGUAUGGUAUCCUGAGCAUUGCACGGGCUUUUUAUACUUAGGCAUAACAGUAGUCACACAGGGUAUAUGCGCAUUUCUCUCAUGAGCAUUGCACGCCUAUUUUACCAAUUGCAGUCAAGCUGGUCCCACAUGAUGUAUUAUUUGGGACGUUUCUCCUAAAUUGUGCUAUGUGAGUAAAAAUUUCACUGUGGUAUUUUGGUCAUUCUUUUAGAAAGUAGGCACGAUAUACUGUAUUUGCUAUUAGGAAAAGAAAUGGGAUAUAGUAGUAUUAUAAUUUAAUGUCGGAACCCUCCAAGGAUCGAGGCUCUAUAGUACAAAUAUACUACAAAGAGGGAUAAGCAAAUGAUUCAGUUUGCUAAUUAUUAAUAUAAUUUUUUAUGAUUCAGAAUCGGUUACAAGUCGAAAACUAUAAAUGGUGGACAAUUCGAAGAAUCACAUAUUCAAAAUAGAUGGUGGUAAUGUUAUAAAAUACCUAUUAAUGGUCCCUUGGUCCACCAUUUGUCCCUCUCUCAAUUUACAAGGAGGUCGAGUAUUCUACUCUUAUUAAUAUCAAGUUGUGUUUGUGUUUUAAUUAUUAAAAAAUUGAUAUCCAUUUGUGAACCGAAGUAUUGUCGCUCUUUAAAAAUCACAGGUUGUCUGUGUGCGACUUUUUAAUGGUCUAGGGAAUCUCUAUAGUGGUCCUAGCUUAAUUUCCAGGAAAAGAAAAUUUUAAAAAUAAUUGCCAUUAUGUUGUAAAGUGCAUCAUUUGUCAAACACUGGUAUAAUUUACAGAACAAAAACACUAAAAAAUGACAUUCAUCCACAUUUUAAACACAAUCAAAAACUUAAAGUCAAAAUAAUUAGAAUAGAGUCCCUCCUAAUUAGUAAACCCAGUUCCUUAAUAUCACAAGUACUAGAAGUUGAUAUAGAUAUGUAAUAGCAAAAAGAAAAAUAUGAUAUAAGAACAUAGAUUUAGCAAAAAUAGUAAGAUACUGAAAAUUACAGGAGAAACUAAUGUAUCUCUGUUACUCUGUAUGUUCAUUAACAAAUUUUUAGCAAUUCAUUCAUCAUGUCAUAUGGGGAAAUAAUUUAUGAUUUUGUUUGCAAGUAGAAAGAAAAUGAUUUUUUUUUUUGUUGCUAAAUUGAUAGUUUUCUUCUGAUUUUUAUGGUUUGUUUGCAAGAACAAAUAAUAAUUAUACUUUACAACACUUCCCUUAUCACUUGUACGACCACGUGGUGAUAUUGCAAAUGCAUACUAAAUUUAUACUUUACCUUUUAGUUAGUUUGUUUGCACGGAUAAUAUGUAAUUUGUCCAAGAAAAAAAUUGUUAGAAGUAGUGAAGAAACAAAUUGUCAUACAAUCCAAUACAUAGCCACAUUUUCUGUUUUCCGCAGGAUAUCUGGAAAAUUCGAGUGCAGCUUAUGAAGCCUGUUACUUGGCCUCCACUGAUAUGGGGAGUGGUUUGUGGUGCUGCCGCUUCUGGUAAUAUUGCUUUCUUCUGCUGAAGGCUUGCUCAAAAAAUUUCUCUUCUCCAUCUAAUCUCAAGUGAUUCUUUAUUCUGUUUACGGUUUAUUACAAGUCACAGUUCUUCUGUCUAAUUUCUGCCAUGACUCGUAUGUUUUUAUACUUAUGAACUAGAAUACAUCUGUGAAGCAAGUUAAUGCAAUGUUGAUGGUAUUUUAAAAGUCAAUUUUGAUCAGUUAUUAUCGACUUUGCAGGAAAUUUUGAGUGGAAUGUAGAAAACGUUGCUAAAUCAAUUGUUUGCAUGAUGAUGUCUGGUCCCUUUUUAACUGGUUAUACACAGGUGAAUCUCUGCUGCAUAAACUUGGUGCUUAUUCCCGCUUGAUUAAUUUCUUUGAAGUCAAUAAAUUUUGUAUUUUCUUAUUUGUCUAGAUGCUCAAUGAUUGGUAUGACAGAGAGAUUGAUGCUAUUAAUGAACCUUAUCGUCCGAUUCCUUCUGGGGUCAUAUCUGAGAAUGAGGUUAGUAAUACAAGUUAUUGUUAUCAUAGACAUACACGAAAGUUAUCUCCAUUUUUACGAUAAUUUUUAUGCAAGAACACUUUCAUCCUCAGGUUAUUACUCAAAUAUGGGUACUGCUUUUGGGAGGACUUGGGUUAGCUGGUAUACUUGAUGUGUGGGUAGGUCUUUUUAAAUUGAUGAUCUUCUUCAGCAAAUAACACUGAGCUUUCUGUCCCUGAGCCUACUACUCCCCUUCACAGGCAGGGCAUAAAUUCCCUAUCAUGUUUUAUCUUGCUUUGGGAGGGUCUUUUAUAUCUUACAUCUAUUCUGCUCCCCCUUUAAAGGUAAUUGUAUUUGGAUAUCACAAUUAUAUGAUUGAAAAUAGUUCUUUUUCAAGCCUCACGCAACUCUUUUCUCCUUUUCUACAGCUGAAACAGAAUGGAUGGAUUGGAAAUUUCGCACUAGGAGCAAGUUAUAUCAGUUUACCAUGGUAUGAUAGCUUACCAUUAGUGAUUAUCCCGUGUCUUCAACUUUUGUUUAAAUAAAGAGAAAGGAAACAAUAAUUUUUUUCCCCAAAUACUUGAUUGCUCAUGCAAUUUUUGGCACUUUUACUUGUUUUUUUUUAUUCUAUAGACAAUAAAUGAGAUUUUAUUCCUGACCAAAUCGAUCAGCUUCGACAAUAAACCUUAAAUGACAAGGAUAUAAAAUUGGCUCUUAAACACUUAUUAGGCUGUCAUUAAUUCUCUUUCACCCACCCACACACACAAAAAGAACCCAAUUACUGUAUACAUGAUAAGCAUAUAAUUGUGAUAGGUGGGCUGGCCAAGCAUUGUUUGGAACCCUUACACCCGACAUAAUUGUUCUCACACUGUUGUACAGCAUUGCUGGGGUAUGUUUCUUGCAUAGCCAAAUUAAUUCUUUGUGAACCAGACCAAAGAUUACCAAGUCCUUUACCUCUUUACAUUUCAUGUUUUAGCUGGGAAUUGCGAUUGUAAAUGACUUCAAAAGUGUUGAAGGAGAUAGAGCAAUGGGAUUGCAGGUUAUUGCCUUGUCUCCUUUAAUGAGAUCUGUAGCAUAUGUUAAUUCAUAAAGUCAUGGCAUAUAACCUUCCAUUAACCUUCAUAUGUUGAUGAUAUAUGUCCAGUCACUCCCAGUAGCUUUUGGCUUUGAGACCGCUAAAUGGAUAUGUGUUGGUGCUAUCGAUGUGACGCAGUUGUCUGUUGCAGGUAUGUAAUCUAUACAUAUGGAAUUUGAUGCCACCGUAAUUACCUAAGAAUCAUGUUUUUUUUGCAUCCUUAUAUUCUUGCUAGGGUGUUGGGUAGGGCUGUAACUCAUUCCUCAGGAGCUGGAAUGUUUCACUUAAUUUUCUAACAUGCCAAUCAUACUUCAUUUGCAUUAUUUCAGUAUUUAUCUGCUAACGUCCAAUUAGAAUUAAAGACCGACUCUGUUGUCUGAUGUUGGAUAAAAAAGUGAAGCCAAUAAAGUUAUUAUAUGUUCCUUCUGCAGGUUAUCUUCUUGGAGCUGGUAAACCAUACUACGCAUUAGCACUUCUUGGUUUAAUUGCUCCACAAGUAUUUUUUCAGGUACAAUAUCUUUUACGAGCUACCCUAUUUUUGCAUAUUCAACUAUACGUGACUUGUCAAUUGCUUUUACUUCUCUAACACUUGAUAUUAUCUACAUGAACAGUUCAAAUACUUUCUUAAAGAUCCAGUUAAAUAUGAUGUCAAGUACCAGGUACUGAUUUCUUUUUCUUUUGCAUUAAAGAUUAGAAGUCCAAAAAUAACUUGCACAAUAGCAAAUUACUUUGACGGCUUUAUCUACCAGUUUAAUGAUGAAAUAGUGUGUUAGCAUUUGCUUUGUUUCAUAACAAACAACCGAUCUUGUAAGUCUAGAAGUGAUCACACAUAUAUUUAAGUAUCUACAUUACAUUUUACGGAGCAUAGACAUAAUCGCACAACUUGUAAUUGUUCAAAUACCUAAAUGAUCCCAUGUCGUGGGAGAAAUAAAAAAACUUGAUUCCUGCAAGUAACGACAAAAUGAACCACAACCCUUGAUUACACUACAUUAUUGUUUUCAGGCCAGUGCUCAACCAUUUCUUAUACUUGGUCUAUUGGUGACGGCAUUAGCAACUAGCCACUAAUCACAUGUAGCAGUUGCCAUACUGGAGAAGACAGGCAAGAGCGGCAGACUAAAAAGCAGCACAGGGAUCAAAAUUGACAGAGGUAACACAACCGUACCAGCUUUGCCAAGAAUGUUGUUGUUUGUAAGAUUGCGCCCAACACUUCACCCAUUUUGUUUGUUCCUGGGUCAUUUUUGGUUUUCUUUUUCCACUCAUCCCUUUACUAGCUUGAAUUUCUAUGGUUUAUUAGGCAAUGUUCUAGAUCCAAAAUUGUAUAUAACUUGAAUAAUGUGUGCUCACAUUCUCUGACCUUACUCAGCGUUUUGUACUUGUUUCCAUCAGAUUUUUUGGUCCCAGUUCUUCUGGCAGCGGAACUCACACCCUCCCGAAUUAAGUUGCUUCUGCAAAUAAUAAAUGUUAAAACAUCACUUGUAACUAAAACAAUAAAAAGAAAAUAAUAUGACGAAUAAUAUGUUUCAUAUCAUAUAUGAACAUUUAGUAAUAUAUGACGUGGCCACAAUCUAAACGAUGACUAGACAUGAAACAACUAGUGGGGCAACAGCACAACGACCUGAAGACUUGACUGCCAGAUCAAAUGUUAGGUACGGUUAUUCCAGUUGAGUUAAAUUAACUGAAAUAUAUAUAAAUUUCAUAACCGAAUUUUGAUCAUUUGUAUCUCCCCAAGUCUGACUCAGUUUAUAUGAUUCAAAAGUUUCAUAUGUUCUUUACGAGUUAAUUUUAAUGGAGACCACAUUUUUUGUGAAGAUCUGGAGACCAUGUUCUGCACGUUAAAUAUUUCAUGAAAACAUUGCAAAAUGUAUAGUUUUGUAAAUCAUGUUUUACGAAAUCAUUAUUUCAUUUAGAAUCUUGAAUAUCAUAUAAAUUUUACAUGUGGAACAUUACAAAAUGUUUUGUUCUAUGAAAUAUGUUUAGUUUGCAGAAUAUUUGUUCAAGUUGCCGAACAUACAUUAUCUACUUAUUAAACAUGGAUAAUAUUCAACAAUUUUAAUGAAUAAUGAUAUCUGUAGAACAUAUUUUACAAAAUGAUGUAUUUUAUAGUGUUUUGAUUGCAGAACAUACGUGGUCUCCAAGGUCUCCGAUAAGAUUUCAAAUAUAUAAUUUAUUUCAUAAUCUGAAAUUAAUUUUAUUAAAUUCUACGUAACAUGAGAGUAUUGUAGAUGGAAAAUUAUAAAUACAUGAUUCGCAGAUAUAAAAAACAAAUGACACUAUUGAAAAAGCCAAUUUCAAGAGAAUACUAUAAAUAAUAUCCCAAAAUUUAUUGCAAUGAUAUAUUCUAACCAACGGUCAAUUGGGAUUUAACUUUAUUAUCAAUGCAUAUGUUUUAACCGGAACAAUGUCGAAUGACGAGCAGUCAUAAUAUUUGAAGAUUUUUAAUAAAGAUGAAGGGUUUCUUAGAAUAAUUAUUUAUUCCAUUGAAGUUUAUAUUAUAUAAUAUUGAAUAUAUAUAUUAAUAUAUUAAUAUUAUUUUUAUUGGGAAAUUAGAUUGAAAUUUUAAUUAUGAUAUAGUUGAAUAUUUAGGAAUUUCAUUUCUUCGACCUUUGCAUUCCUGUAGUUCUUAACUAUAGUUCUAACUCCAGUUCAAAAAAAAAAACUAUAGUUCUAACUCCAGUUCAUGAAAAUAGGGACUCCAAAUUGAGGAGUCAAAAAUUUUUAUAAAAUGUUCUUGGAUCAAUAAUAUUAUUGAUUAUCUUGAUAAAUAUCAAGAUAAUAUAUGAAGAAAACAUGAUUCCAAGCCGAGACUUGACACAUUAGGAAUCCACUUAUGUAAUAGAGUUGAUCCACUGAGGUAUUGAGGAGCGGUGUAGGAUCAGAAAGUUCAUAUUCUUUCGUCAUUGAUUAACAAUUUGUUGGACAAUACUCAACGCAGGAAUGUUCCAAUUUUUAUAAUAUCUAUUCCCCAGGUUUAUAUUGUCCAUUUCAUUGAUUGCAACCAAACAGAGCAUAAUACUACUGAUCUUUACCAUUCUAAAUAAGCAGGGAUGUAUAUUCUUCUCAUCUCGUGCAACUCUAAUUCGAUCUCCCACCGAUUCAAAUGGGAAACAUGAAUUUUUUUUCAAAUAUAAUAAAGAGAUCUUGGAGACCUUUAUUAAAAAUGAUCAUGACAGGUCAGUGGAUUAGUGUUAUGUCGCUCCAUCCAUGAUUUUCAAAUAUGAUGCCGAUAUCAUUUUUAUAUAUUUGUAUUAUCAAAAAUAUUAGCAAUAAAUAUAUUGUGUAGAUAAGUGUUAGCUCGAGUUGUUUAAAAUAUGAUAUAAAUGUAAAAAAAUAAAAUACAAUUGGCUUUGUCUUCCUGAAACCGGGUGUGAUUCGGCUUUGAUACUUUUGCUGGAAACGUUGGGGUAGUGGCUGAAUGACUACCACCACAUGUUGGCUGAAUUUGCAUUUAAUCUUAACACCAUUUCGACAGGGAUAUGCAACAACAUAGAUAAAGGAAGACAGUGACCUUAACCUACAAGCUGUGUACCAUCAUUGGCUGUUCAACACCCCUUUACUCGCAUCUGAAAGUGAAAUUCUAAGGUGGUGCUUGGCCACGGCUUAAAAGUCUGGAUUUAUAAGUUAGAACUGUUUGUGUAAUAAGUCAAGAAGUACUUAUAAAAAGCCGAGAAUACUAGCUUUUAUGUGAUGACUUCUCCUUAUUUCCCAAACACUUUAAUGACUUAUAAGUAUUAAUUUGCUUCUAACUUUUAUUUCACUUCUUUACUUUAAUCAAGAAGCACUUAUUUUAACCCCACCCAAACGACCCCUAACUCUAUCGAAAUUUUACAGACACGAAAAUUUCACAACCAACUCUGCAAUAAUGCAGGAGAGGACAUGAUCAAGACUCGUAUCUGUCCAAACUCUAACGCGUUUUAAUAGUUUCUUAGUACUUUCAAGGAUUGCAGUCUAGUGUUUUGCUGAUCAGCGUGUAGAUACGAGUAUGUAAAGGGCUGAACAUUCUUCUCAUGUAAAAAGUAUUUGUUCGAUACCCUGUGUCACAGACUCGGCACCCAUUGACUCGUAGACUUGAGAAGUCGGGCCUGCUAUAAAUUACAGAGCUAUACUGAGAAUAUACACAUUAAAACAUAAACUGCUGAGUGCUCAUAUCAAAACACUAAACAGUAUUAUGAAGGCCUUAUUUCUUUUUCUUGCUGUUUUAGUGUUCUUUUCUUGGGGGUUAAAACCGCUAGAGUCUACCACAUUGAAAUUCAAUACCAGCGACACUAAUCACACUAUUAUGCAGGCUAAAGUCAUUACAAUUCACCCGGAAUGUCAGAGGAAAUGUGGUGACCUAGUCGUACCAUAUCCGUUUGGCAUCAAUUCAGAAAGUCUCAACUGUUCCAUAAAUCCGUCAUUUGCUAUUACCUGCAACAGUUCUACCAAGCCUCCGAAGGCCUUCUUAAUGAAUGGUAACGUUCAGGUUUAUGAUAUAUCCAACACUGAGUUGCGGAUUUCUAAUUAUUUGGCUUUUAGGUGCUAUGAUAAGUUUGGCAAUCUAACCAGCGACGAAUAUUCCUACAUUAGUCUGGGAGAAACUUCAUUUACGUAUUCUGCUGCAAAUGUAUUCACUGUUGUUGGUUGUGAUGACUUAGCUAACAUAUAUAAUGCUCCGGCUGGCACUUUGCCUAAAGGAUGCAGUACAACAUGCCAAAACAUAAACGAAGUCACUGAAAACGAGACUUGUUCCGGCAGUGGCUGUUGUCAAGUACCCAUCAAUGUUGUGCAGUACUUCCGAGCCUAUCUCCACAGCUAUAAUGACCAUACAAAUGUCUCAUCCUUCAAUAGAUGCGGGUUUGCAUUCAUGGGCGAGAAAGGUAGCUUCACUUUUCGAGGUAAAUCAGAUCUUGCUGAUCCAGUUGCCUUCUGGAAUAGGACUCGGCAAAGUGUUCCCAUAGUACUAGAUUGGGUAAUUGGGAAUAAAAGUUGCACCGAAGCAGCUCACUUGAAGUCUUCUGUUUGCAAAUACCCAAAUAGCUACUGCAUCGACGGAAUUCUGGCCAGAGGAUAUAAAGGAUAUCAGUGUAAAUGCAAUGAAGGUUAUGAGGGCAAUCCAUAUCUCAGUUCAGGUUGCCAAGGUAAUUAUCUAAGUUGACCGUGCUUCUAGUUUUGAACUUGUUUAUUAAUUUAAUAUUAUGUAACUGAUUCGAUUUUUAUCUUUUCUAAGAUAUCAAUGAAUGUGAACGAGAUCAUGAUUGCGAACAACUCUGUAUCAAUACCAAUGGAACUUAUAGUUGCUCUUGCGAACAUGGGCACUAUACUGACCCUAGUGAUCUGAAGAGAUGCAUUGCUAAAAGCUCCAAGCCCCAACUGAUCAUAUUUGUAAUAGGUAAUUAAUCCUAAGUCCUCAAGUUUCAUACAGAUAUUUGUAAUAGGUAAUUACUCUUUAGUCUUAUUUCCACAUAUCACUUAUUAGUUCUGAUAAAUCAUGGGUCGAUAAUGCAGGAACGGCAAUUGCUUGCAUUUUGGUGAUUACUGGAAUGAAUUGGUUGUAUUGCAUCAUGCAUAAGAGAAAACAAUCCCAACUGCGAGAGAAAUUGUUUCACCAGAAUGGCGGUCUCUUGUUAAAACAGCAAAGUAUCUCCGAGGGUGGUAGUGUUGAGUCAACAAAACAUUUUACUUAUGAAGAACUGAAGAAAGCAACUAACAACUAUGCUGCUGAUAGAAUAGUUGGGCAAGGUGGUUAUGGUAUAGUUUACAAAGGAAUUUUACCUGAUCAACGUGUCGUUGCAGUCAAAAGGUCAAAAGUAUUGGAUCCAAGUCAAAUAGAUCAAUUUAUCAAUGAGGUGGUAGUUCUUGCACAAGUUAACCACAGAAAUGUGGUCAAACUUCUAGGAUGUUGUUUAGAAUGUGAGGUACCAUUGUUGGUAUAUGAGUUUAUAUCCAAUGGCACUUUAUUCCAUCAUGUCCACAGUACUGACGGAGGCUUGUCAUGGUUAUCUUUAGACAAUCGGUUGAGAGUUGCUGCUGAAUCUGCUGGUGCCCUUGCGUAUCUUCAUUCAGAAGCUUCUAUGCCCAUUAUGCAUAGAGAUGUCAAAUUAGCCAACAUAUUACUUGAUGACAAUUAUGUUGCUAAAAUAUCUGAUUUCGGAGCCUCCAGGCUGGUACCCAUGGAUCAAACUAAAGUGAUCACAUUAGUCCAAGGAACUUUAGGAUACUUGGACCCCGAAUACUUUCAUACAGGUGAACUAACCGACAAAAGUGACGUUUAUAGUUUUGGAGUAGUCCUUGCAGAGCUCUUAACAGGAAGACAACCAAUUUGCAUGGAAAAUUCUGUGGAAGAAAAAAAUUUAGCCACAUAUUUCAUUUCAUCCCUCAAGGAGAAGAAAUUAUUUCAAGUUCUGGAUCGUCGAGUAGUGAGAGAAGGGUCGAUGGAUCAACUUCAAAACGCUGCUCAACUUGUGAAACGGUGCCUUAACCUUAAUGGCGAGGAAAGACCAGCUAUGAAGGAUGUGGUGACGGAAAUAGAGAGUCUGAGGAAAUUCAGCAAACAUCCUUGGGCUAAUCGACAUGGCACUGAGGAAACUACAAGCUUGAUAGUUCAUACAGAGAUUCAGCAUUCAGACCUCUAUGAAAUUCAGCUAAGUUCUCAUGAUGGGAAUAACUCUGAACAGUAUAGCUCAAGUACUACUGUUAGUUUGUUGCACCAGCCAAGCAGCCCUCGUUGAGAUAUAUCUUGAACUCCAUGAUUUGUUCAUAAUACAUGCAUGUGUAUUCUAAAAUUUCAUUUCCAUGUCUAGUUACCGGUUUGUUACACGGUUCAUUUCUA